rnacentral:lncRNA from 1 species
CUUGGAACAGCAUUUUCUGGUGCAAGUUUGCGUGGACUUCCAGUUGAAUUCUGGAUUUGGAUAUGCCCUGACUUGUUGAAGAUCAACCGAGAACCCGUUUCAAAACUUGAAUAAUUAUUGUAAGGUUUUCCGGUGAACAUAUCUAUUUGAUUAAGUAUGAGAGAUCCUUUAUCGAAACGAAGUUGAUAUUUCCCCUUAUUGUAACUUGUUUCAUCCAGGGCUGAUAAAAGAUUGCCAUCAAAAUCCAAUUCUUGAGUCGGUAAGAUGGUAUCAGUUGGAUAUUUGAAGCUUUCCCAUAUGUUGGCUGAGUUGUUGCUAGCUAUCACAAAAUUCCCUGUAUCAAGCAUGGCUGCGUGUGACACUUGAGAAUCAUUUGUGAGGCUUUGGGACCUCCACAACUCUUUGUCUUUAGGAUCUUUAAGCACAAGAUGUCCGGUCCUGGUGAGCUCAACCUUUGAAUCUUUAUCAGUUGCUGGAUUCUCUCUAUUAGCAUACCAUACUAUAGUUCUUUCCGGGAUCUUAGCAUACCAGAUCGCAAGAACGAACCUAUCUUUUUGGCCUGGAAUGGGAUGAAAACCAAAGGCAAAAUCACCUGAUGGUGAUUGCCAGCUCAUGGUUUUGUCAUUUGCAGAUAGAGAAUCACCUACAUUUACAUUACGUUGAGCCUGAACUGUUGCGAGAAUCCAGUGGAUGCUUACAAGAAUAAGCAGGAAAAGACGAGUAUGAAAAAGUGUUGAGAUCAUUGAAUCUCUCCAGUAGGAAUUCAAGUGUGAUUCCCAAAUGUGACGAAAACGAAAACUUUGUGCCUUCUGGUACGAUUCUCUGCACUUUAAAAGGGACUGAGCCGGUUGCGUGCGCGUUUUGUAUGAUCAUGGGAUUCCAGGGGACAACUCCCUGGAAACUUCAAGGAUGAGGGGAAAAAGAACAGAAAUUUGGCACGGCACGUACUUUUUUUUUUAUGUAGCGGCAAGGGAUUCUUAGGCUUCUUUCAAUAUAUAUAUAUAUAUUUGAAUCAGUUUAAAACGAUUUAUCUAAAUGAGAUUUAACGAAUUUAUAAAAAAUUAUCUUCUUACUUUAACCGAACAACAAAAAGAAGAGCACAUUUUUUUUUGCUACUUGAACUAACUACUCAAUAGAUUUGACAAUUUGAAAAACUAUAUAACGACAUAAUACAAAAAUAAUAUAAAUAAAAAAAUAAAAAAAUAUGAUUUAAAAUUUUAAUAAAAAUUAUAAAUGAAUUCAACAAAAUAAAUUUUUUUUUAUAUUUUAAUAUCAAUACAAAUUAUAACCUAUAAUUUUUAUAUAAAAUAUAAUAUAAAUACAUAAAAUUUUAAUAUUUUAUAUAAUAUAAAUAUAUAAAUUAUCAAAUCUAUCGUCGUGUCACAGCUCAUAUUUUGACAUUUCUGCUUUAUUGCAUUAUUUUCAGUUGUGUUCCACUGAUGUCUGAUAACUUUAGAUUAGGUUCAAUUGAUUUAAAUGUGAUGUUACUGAGUCUGGACCCACUUUACAAACACAGUGAAGUAUAAAUUUCUCAAACUUCUGCAAUUCUAUUUUGAUCCGUCUCUUACCGUUUGUCCGUUUCUAACAAAAUGUUCAAAGCCAUUGUUCAUUCAUGAAAAUUGUGUUUGCUAUGUUUAACAAGUAAUUCGAAUAAAGGGGAAUAAAAUAAAAUUAUUUCUUAAUCAAAUAACACAUACAUAUAUGCAUAAUAAUGAUCAAAUGUUUAUUUUCAUUAAAUUUAGCUCUUAAUUGGUUACUGACUGUAAUAUGAGGCUUACAAAAUUAAUUUUCUUUCAAUUAAAAGUUCAAUUAGGUGAAAGUGAUUUUAAGAUUUCCAUUCAACUUUUAAACAUUUUUUAAAAACUCAAUAAGUAAAUAAAUAAUUAUUUUUAAAAAAUAAAAAUAUUGCUACAUCAUGAUUGUGCUAAUCAAUCUGAUUAGAAUAUAAAAAAUCAUAAAUAAAAAAUAGAAUCUUACAAAUCCCAAACUUUACAAAGAUUUUUGUUAAUAUGAUCUAUGGGAAGAUGCUUCAAUCUUGUUAAUCAAGUUGACAACCAGCUUAGGAUUUACAUGGAAAACUUUUAUAAAUUUUUAUAUAACCUGUUGUUCAUCUCCCACAAUAUUUAAAAAUAUAAGCUUUCAAAAUAAUGCUUAAAAUAAUGAAAAUCAAGGAUUUCUUGUAGCUUUCUUACUGUCCAUCUCUAAAAACCCAUUUUUUGUUUUACGAAACAAGUUGAUUUUUAAAACUCUGUUUAAUUUUUUUCAGUUUUGUGGAGCAUUAGUUGAGCAAGUAUCAAAGAAGUCGAGACAGGUUUUGUUUUGCUGAUCAGCUCAUCAACAAGUUAUCUCAUAGGAAAAAUCUAACUUAAAAUAGAUUUUGUUUUGCUUUACCAUCCAUCAAAUAUUUUUUCUAAUAACCUGUCAAAGACUUACUUACAAACUAGUGGAUGGUUGGCUUAAGUGAAAAAAAAAAUUAUGUUUUUCUCUUUAUUAUUUGAAUUUGAAUAUACUAAAACGUCGUGAGAAGUUAAUUUUUUAUAAAUUCAUUAAGUCCGAUAUAAAUAAAUUUGUUUAGAUUAACCUAUAAAGGGAAUGCAGCAGGUGAAGUUUAAAAACCCCUUGCCACUAAAUAAUAAAAGAUUUAUAUACAAAUAAAUAAGGAUUAAUAUUCAAAUAAAUCCUCAAACUUUGAGCUUUUUAUUUUAUUGUAAUUAUAUUCAUUAAAUUUUAAAAUUGAAUGAAUACUGUCCAAAUUAUAGAAUUUUGGGUAAUUUCUUGAUUUUUAGGAUGGAAAGAUCUUAAAGGUAAUUUUGAGGGAAAAUUCGUGGACAAACAAAUUUGAGAAGUCAAAAUUUGUUAGGGGGAAUUGUUGAAAUUUUUUUGCAUUAAUUUUUAAAAAUUUUAAUUUUUUGGUGUUGUUUAAGUUUUUUAGUUGGAUUCCAACAAGUUUUUCGAGUUUUCAAUGACUUUUUGACUAAUGUUCUAGAAUUUGGCGAUCAAAUCCAGAUUUCGACUAAAACCUCGAUAACAUCUUGAUGAUGUACAAAUUUUCCAGCAAUAUUUGCAAAGUUCGGAGACAAUAUUCAUUAAUCUUUAUGCAAUGUUUGGAUAAAUAUUAAUAAAAAAAAUAAAAUAAUUUUUUUUAAAAAAUGAAAAAAUAUAUGCACUUUUUGUUAGAUAGUUAAAAUUAAUAAAUGAAAGAAAAAGAAUUCUAAUAAUCUUUGUUUGCAUAAAGAGUAAAAAAGAAAGAAAAUAAUUUAUUAUAAUAAUUUUUUUCAGUUAUAAUCUUUCAUUACUUGUGAUUUUAGAACACUCAUAAAUAUAAUAAUUUUUUAACAAAAAUAAAUUUUUUUCAAUUUUCCUUACUUUAACUUUUCUCCCAAAUUGGGUAUUGAAAAAGUGAAGAUUACAAAAAAAAUCAAAAGUUAUUGAGUUUUUACUUUUUCUUUUCUUUGAAGUAAAAAUUUAUCCAAAUAAGAAAAAGAUUUUUCUAUUUUCAUUAUUUUUAUUUUAUUUUCCUUUCCCUUACUUCCUCUCUCCUCAGUCUAAACAUAGUAUUAGAGAUAGAAGUAAAGGAAAAAAUAAAGAGGAAAGAGAGUUGAAGCAAUUCUGAAAAGAAAAAAAACAAAAUUUGAUCUUUUAUACCCAGAGUUAAACGAUGUCUUAUUGUAUUUUGACAUUCACCCAUGAUUAGGGUCGGCAAUCAAACCUAUCCUCGACGGAUUUCGACCCAACCCGACCUUAUGAGGUCGAAUUCUUUUUUUGAAAUUCGAGUUUCGGAUCGGGUCGAUCGGGUAAGGUUAGGAAACAAUCAGGGUCGGGUCGGGUUCGCGUUUUAGGCAAAUCGAACCCGAUCCGACCCGAUAUUAUAUAAAAAAUUAUUUUUAAUUAAUUAUUUAAUUAUUUAAUUAUAUAUAUAUUUAUAUAAUGAUAUUUUUAAAUAUUUAUAUUUAAAAAAUAAUAUUUUAUAUUUUAAAAAAAUAAUAUUUUAUAUAGUAUCGAGUUGGGUACGGUUUAUAUAGUAUCGAGUCGGAGUCAGGGUUAGGUAUGAAAAAAUAAAAAAAAUUUCGGGUAAGGUCAGGUUCAGGUUUAAUAACACAUAAAGUCGGGUUGGGUUUGGAGCGAGCAAAACCUGCCCCAAACCCGACUCAAUGUCAACCCUACCCAUGAUCAAUGUGUUUUGCCAUUUAUUGCUCGACCUGUUUUGUGACCCGACUUACUACUCAACAACCAUUUUAUUCUUUAAUUGAAUUUAAUUAAUUUAUAUUUAUUUUAAUUGAUUUUUUUCAAGAAAAAAAAAAGAAAGAAUUCUUAAAAUAAACUCAUGAUUCCUAUAAAAUUAUUGAAUGAUUUUCAUGAAAAAAUUUUUAAUUAUGAAUUCUAUCAAACUAUUUGAGAAUUUUAUAAUAAAAUUUUAUAAAAAAUAAAACUUUUAAUCUUUCCAAACUAUUAGAAGACUUAAAUAUCUAAAUUAAGUAUUAUCAAAUUAUUAGAGGAAUUAAUGAGUUUUUAUUAAAAAUAAUUUUUUUAAUCCUAUCCAAAUAUUAGAAGAUUUAAAUUUCGAAUUAAAUCUUACUAAACUAGUGAAAGAUUUAGUGAUUCUUCUUAAAGCAAACUUCAUAAAUAGAUUUCUUAAUAAAAAUCUCACCAUACUAUUUGGGGAUGUGCAUCCAAAUAAAAUCUUAAAAAAUUAUUAGAGGAUUUUAUUGUUUAUCUAAGGCUUUGGAUAACAUAAAAUCAAUUAGUACUAUCUUUCAAAUUAGUGUUGUGAGGAUGCUAUAAUUUUUUUCACGCAUAAUCAUUUUUUUGGACUUAGUGUCGGUUUCGUAAUGCUAAAAUCUACUAUUUUAAAUAUACUUAAGUCAAACUUGAGAUUUUUUUUAAAAAUAAAAUAAAUUCAGUUAAGUGCUCAAUUGUAUCUAAAUAUAAAAGAUUGCUAGAAACUCAUAAAGUUAUAUUUAGUGAUAGGUUCAUGAAUUUAUAUAUUAUAAUAGUUUGACGACUUCACUGAAAAAAGCAAAGGGUUAGACUAAUAAAUAAUUUUUUAUUAUCUAAGUCUGACUUAAUAAUCACCUAAUUAAGAAAACAUGAAAAGAAUCUCCUAAUUAAGAAUCAAACAUAACUUAGCAAGAAAAAUUCUCUAGUAGUUUAAAAGUUUGUGCUUUUUAAUCUAGCUUUUUCUUUAACUUUUUUGGAUGCAUACAAGUGUUUUUUAGGUUUGAUAAUUCAUGAAUUUAUAUCAUAUUUAUUUUAUGUUGUUAUUAUGUUAUUAUUUAUGUUAACAUAUUAAAUACAAAAUAUAUUUUUAAAUUUUUAUUAAAUUUAUAUAAUUUUUUUAAAAAAAUUAUAUUAUAUCACUUUCAUAUAUAUAUAUAUAUAUUUCAUAUCAUGUAACUUUUUCAGUUUAAAAUUGCAAGAUCUUUUCUUCUCUUGGGAUAAUGUUUUUAUUUUCUAAUUGAAAUUUGGUUUUUACUUUCUAAUUUUUUUUUACAGUGAAGUUGAUGGGCUACGCCUAAAGUGGUCCCUAGAGUGUUGCCUUUCAAUUACGUUUUUGUAUAGGGACCUAGGCCCACCAUGUUCUAGUUCAAUGAUUUUGUUGAUAAUAAAAGACUAUUUCAUGUCGUAGAUUAGGAUCGGACCAACCAAAGCCAGCUAUUUAUGUUGUGGGAAUUUAUUAAAAUUUAAAGUGGACUUUAUUUUAAUUAAUAAGCCAACAAUAAAUGAUGAAGACUCCUUAGAAUAAAUUAUAUCCUUGUCCCAACAUUUAUAGAAUAACCCCAAAGGAUUUUUUUUUUAAUUAAUUUUUUCCCUUUUACAAAUAAAUUGGUGUGAAAUACUAACAAUACUUGUGAUCCCAAGUCAAAGAUCAAGCAAAUAAUAUAAAAGCAACAAGAUUCUUACAGGAUUGAUGAAUAUACAUACAAGAAAUGAGCUUAUAUAUAUACAUAUAUUGAUUUUUUGAAUUACGAUUAAAGUUUAAGUUCCAUACCUUCAGUUCUAGAAUCGAUUCAAGUAUUAUUCAACUGUUAUAUAAUUUGAUGAUUCAUGAAGAAGUGAAAAUCCUAUAAAAUUAAUGACCAAGAAAAGAUUAUGAACAAGAAAAUAUUGAUUAUCAAAACAUUUUCUUAACAGCCACUCUUUUUUGUAACUGAAUUGGCAAAGUUUCAACAAUUUUCACAUUUUCAUUUUAUUUUCUUCUAAUAGUCAAUAUGAUCACAUGAAAUUACCCAACUUAUUGAAAGAACUAAUUUGUUGGUGAGCCAAGAAAAUUGAUACACCUAAAAUUGUUUUGAUAAUUGAUAAUCAUGUUUGGCAGGGUCAACCUAAAUGAUUAAUUAAUUUCAUUUCUUCAACAAUUCAUUGUUAGGUUAUUAUAAAGACUAGAUCAUUGAAUUUACAAGGAAAUGGCAUGGUGGAGUAGGAACCUGGACAACACCAUCAAGCAUCAUUGUAACAAUCUUCAUGGAUGGCCUCAACAAUGGAUUUUCUUGUACACACUAAAUUGCCACUUUUAAUAACAUCUCUAAUUUCUUAACAUCACUUCUAGCCUUUUCAUCAUUUUCCACCAGCUUUUCAACUAUGCCUUCUCUGUAGCAUUCAAAUGCCCAUUUUGUUAAUAUUGUUGCUUCUUCCAUCUCAACUUUAACACAUCUUCUGCAACAUAUAAUUUCUAACAGCAUCACUUCAAAACUGUAAACAUCUACCUACACUUUGACUGGGGUGUUUUUGAACCAUUCUAAUGCCACAUACCCUUUAGUCCAUCUUAUGCCUGUCAGCGUUUGAGUGUUGUUGUUGAUCAAAAGCUUUGACAACCCAAAAUCAGAUAUUUUAAUAGUAAAAGAAUCAUCCAAUGGUAUAUUUUAUGGCUUUAUGUCACAGUGGAUGAUUUGUGUGUUGCAUUCUUCAUACAAGUAUAUGAGGCCUUUUGCAAUCUCUGAUGCAAUUUACGGUCUUUACUGUCAAUUAGGCCUUAGCACUCCAAAGAGAAAGCUAACCAAUAAACCAUUUUGUAUAAACUCAUAUACCAUAAUUCCAUUAGUAAAAAUCCAGUUGGCCUUCGUUGCCAACUAGGGUUCCUUGGAUAAUAAUAGGGAGUAACAACUCCAUAAAAAUUAAUUAUUGCCUUACAAUAGUUUGAGUCUGGUUUUGGAGCAGCAUUUACUGGAGCAAGGUUGAGUAGACUUCAAUUUGAAUUUUGGAUUUGGAUAUACCCUAACUUGUUGAAGAUCAACUAAGAACCAGUUUCAAAACUAAAAUAAUGAUUGUUAGGCUUUCUGGUGAACAUAUCUAUUUGAUUAAGUAUGAAAGAUCGUUUAUCGAAAUAAAGUUGAUAUUUCCCCUUAUUAUAACUUGUUUCAUCUAAAACUGAUAAAAGAUUGCCAUCAACAUUCAGUUCUUGAGUUCGUAAGAUGGUAUCAGUUGGAUAUUUGAAGCUUUCCCAUAUGUUGGCUGAGUUGUUGCUUGCAAUCACAAAAUUCCUUGCAUCAAGCAUGGCUGCAUGUGACAUUUUAGAAUCAUUUGUGAGGCUUUGGGACCUUCACAACUCUUUAUCUUUUAGAUCUUUAAACAUAAGAUGUCCGUUCCUAGUGAGCUCAGCCUUUUAAUCUUUAUCAGUUAUUGGAUUCUCUCUAUUAGCAUACCAUACUAUAGUUAUCUCCAGGAUCUUAGUGUUAAAAUGUAUAUUAUGUUUAGUUGACUUAUAAGGUUGGACUUUAUUUUUGAAUAUAUAUCAUGGGCUUUAAAUCCAUUUAUACAUUUGCAUAUAUAUGUAUUUUACAACCUUAAAAAUAUUGUUGUUUUUCACUCUUCAAGUUAUCAUGGUAUCAGAGCUUUCGGUGACUGGUAUUUUUCUUUGUUUUAGGUCACUUUGAUUUGCUAUUGUUUGACCUUUUUUUUUCCCUUAAUAAGUGGCUGUUGCAUUUGUAUUUUUUUUUGUUUUGUCAUUUUAUGAAAUUGGGUAGAAUUGGUUUUGUGCCAUUGACUAUAGCUUGGUUUUGUAAAAUUGGAAUUGCUUUGUCUUUUCCUUCUUUUAUUCAUUAGCUACAAGUUGACUAAAUAUUUUAUUAGUUCUGGAUUGUUUACUUGUGUAAUCGACUUGUUUGUUUCACCUGCUACGAAUUGAUCAAUUUAUUAGCUUGUUACAAGUUGAUCGGUGCAUUGGCUUUAAAUUAUUUUUACUCAUGGCUCUUUUAAAAUUAUCACAGCUUAUUACAAUAAAAUUAGAUGGAAUAAAUUACACUCAUUGGUCUUAUUUGAUGCGAAAUUUAAUUUUUAAAAGGAAAAGGACUCUGGAAAUAUGUUCAAGUGAUAAAAAAUGUCUGAGAUCUCUUGAUAGAUUGAAAAAUUUUGUGCCUGAAUAUGAACAAUAAGAGAUUAAUAAUAGCAAAAUUGUUACUUGGAUUGCCAAUAUUGUUGCUCCUUCAAUUAGUAUGUAACUUGAAAAUUUUGACACUGCUAAAGAGGUUUGGGAUUUUCUUGAAAAAUGUUAUGUUUAAAGUAAUUUUGCUCGAAGAUAUAAACUUGAAAUGGAUCUUGCCACUUUGAAACAGAGAAGGGGACAAUCAAUUUCUAAUUUUCAUUUUGAAAUAUCAAUUAUUUGAGAUCAAUUAGCUUUUAUAGAACCUAAAUGGAUUGUUGAUGCAGAACUAUAUUAUCGAUAGAGAAAAAAUAGGUCGUCUUAUAUAAUUCAUAAUGGCACUUCAAGAUGAUUUUGACUUCAUUCGUACUUUUAUUCUAUAUCGUGCCCUUUCUUUUUCUGUUGAUGCUAUUUUGUUAGAAUUGAUGGCUGAAGAAACUAGGAGAGGCAUCCUUAAUCAAUCCAAAUGAGGGGAUGAUACUAUUUUAGUAACUGCUGCACGUUCAAAAAAUUUUUAUCUCUAAUUCAUUUGGCUCAUCUUAACGAAGGGAUUCUUAUAAAAUUGAAUGUUAUUACUGUCAUGAGUUGGGACAUACAAAACAUAAUUACCUAGAAUUGAAAAGCAAUGUUGUCUACAGAAACUUUUGAUGUUAACUCUCACUCCACUACAAAUCAAACUCAAAAUAUUAUUCAACAGGUUAUUUCUUGUAUUAAUAAUAACUCUACGAGUAAUAAUUCUUUGACAUCUGCAUUAUCAAUUACUUCAGGUACUAAUUCUAAAGAUUGGAUCAUUGAUUCUAAAGAUUUUAAUUAUAAAACUUUUGAUAAUUCUAUCUUUGACUCUUUAACUCCUAUUACUUUUUGACCUUCUAUUCAUACUACUAAUGGUUCAAAUAUGUUUGCUACUCAUAUUGGCUUUGUCUCAUGUUCUCAAAAUAUUUCUUUUGAUAAUGUUCUUUUGGUUUCAUCACUUUCAUGAUUUGCUAUUUGUUGGUCAAUUAUGUGAUCAAGACCUUGAUGUUAUUUUUUGCUCUCGUGGUUGUGCGGUGCAAGAUUGCUUAAUAGGGAAAGUGGCUGAGACAGGUUAAAAAAUUGGAAGAUUAUUUGUUUUGGAAAACUUAUAUGUGUCAUAUCAUUUUUUUGAUGAAUUUGAUCAUCUUUUGUGAGAAAAUCCUUAUUAGUUUCUAGUGUUCAAAAGCUUGCAUCUUUUUCUCUUUGGCAUCAUAAGUUAGGACAUAUUUCUUGUUCUAGACUUCAAUAGUUGGUAUUUAGUGGCAAGUUAGUUUAUGUUAAGUCAGAAACAUCCAAUAAUUGUAUUAGUUGCAAACUAGCAAAACCUUUGAGAUAAAGGAUCUUGGUCCAUUACAAUCUUUUUUGAGUAUUAAAAUUGAUUGUUCCUCUCAUAGAUAUGUCUUGUCUCAAGUGAAAUAUGCUUCUGAUCUUAUUUUUGAAGCUAGCUUAUCUGAUAAUAAAACUGUUGACACUCCUCUUGAAACUAAUGUCAAAAAGAAAGUUACUGAUGGAAAACUUCUCAAUGAUACUACUUUGUAUAAACAGUUGGUUGGUAGUCUUAUAUAGUUGAUAGUGACAAGACCUAAUAUUAGUCAUACAAUUCAAGUUGUAAGCCAAUUUAUGAUAGCACCACGAACAAUUCACUUUGCUAUAGUUCUUAGGAUAUUGAGAUAUUUGCGAGGAACACUACAUAAAGAUUUGCUAUUCUCAUCAACUUAUAAAAUUGAACUUUGUGCUUUUUUUUUAUUUUGAUUGAACUAGUGAUGUUAAUGAUCGGUGUUCUAUAACUGAUUACUGCGUUUUUCUUGGUGAUUCUUUGAUAUCUUAGAAAAGCAAAAAAUAGUCAGUUGUAGCGCAUUCAAGUACAGAAGUAGAGUAUAGAGCUUUAUCAAACGAAACAACAAAAAUUAUGUGGUUAUGUUGGUUACUUAUGAAUUUAGGUGUUGACAUGCCUACUCCUAUUCUAUUUUUUUUUUGUGAUAAUAAGAGUGUAAUUCAAAUUGCUCAUAAUAAUAUUUUUUAUGAACGGAAUAAACAUAUUAAAAUAGAUUGUCAUUUUAUUAGAUAAGAGAUAUGCAAAAGCACCAUCAUGCUACAACAUUUUUCUUUUGAAUAACAAGUGACGGAUCUUUUUAUAAAUUUCUUUCAAGUUCAUGUUUUUGUUAUUUAGUUUCCAAACUUAUUUGAUUUCGAAUCAUUUUCAAUUUGAGUGGCUAUUGAAAUGUAUAUUAUAUUUAAUUGACUUAUAAGUUUGGGCUUUGUUUUUGAAUAUAUCUCAUGACCUUUAAAUCCAUUUAUGCAUUUGUAUAUAUAUGUAUUUUACAACCCUAAAAAUAUUGUUGUUUUUCACUCUUCAACUCAUCACUUAGCAUACCAGAUUGGAAGAACGAACCUAUCUUUUUGGCCUGGAAUGGGAUCAAAAUCAAAGGCAAAAUCACCUGAUGGUGAUUGCCAGGUCAUGGUUUUGUCAUUGCAGAUAGAAAAUCACGUACUCUUACAUUACGUUGAGCCUGAACUGUUGCAAGAAUCGAAUGGAUGCUUACAAGAAUUAGCAGGAAAAGAUGAGUAUGAAAAAGUGUUGAGAUCAUUGAAUCUCUCCAGUAGGAGUUCAAGUAUGAUUCUCAAAUAUGACAAAAACGAAGACUUUGUGCCUUCUGGUAUGAUUCUCUGCACUUUAAGAGGGACUGAGCCUGUUGCGUGCUUGUUUUGUAUGAUCAUAGGAUUCCAGGGAACAACUCCCUGGAAACUUCAAGGAUGUGGGGAAAAAGAAUAGAAAUUUGGCGCGGCACGUAUUAUUUUUUUAUGUAGCGGCUAGGGAUUCUUAAGCUUCUUUCAAUAUUUUUUUUUUUCGAAUCGGUUUAAACAGAUUUGUCUAAAUGAGAUUUAACGAAUUGAUAAAAAAUUAUAUUUUUACUUUAAACCAAAUAAUAAAAAGAAGAGCGUGCACAAUCUUUUUGCUACUUGAACUAACCAUUUAAUAGAUUUGAUAAUUUGAAAAAUAAUACGAUAACUUUAUACGAAAAUAAUAUAAAUAAAAAAUAUAAAAAUAAUACGAUUUAAAAUUUUAAUAAAAAUUAUAAAUAAAUUUAACAAAACAAAAAAUAUAUAUUUUAUAUUUCGUAUUGAUACAAAUUAUAACAUAUAAUUUUUACAUAAAAUAUGACACAAAUAUACAAAUAUAUAAUAUUUUACAUAAUACAAUAUACAAAUGAUCAAAUCUGUCACCGAAUGGUGUCACGGCGCACAUUUUGUCAUUUCUGCUUUAUUGCAUUAUUUUGAGUUGUGUUCCACUGAUGUUUGAUAACUUUAGAUUAGGUUCAAUUGAUUUAAAUCUGAUGUUACUGAAUCUGGACCCACUUUAUAAACACAGUGAAGUAUAAAUUUCUCAAACUUUUGCAAUUCUAUUUUGAUCCGUCUCUUACCGUUUGUCCGUUUCUAGCAAAAUGUUCAAAGCCAUUGUUCAUUCAUGAAAAUUGUGUUUUCUAUGUUUAACAAGUAAUUCGAAUAAAGGGGAAUAAAAUAAAAUUAUUUCUUAAUCAAAUAACACAUACAUACAUGCAUAAUAAUGAUCAAAUGUUAAUUUUCAUUAAAUUUAGCUCUUAAUUGGUUAAUGGCUGUAAUAUGAGGCUUACAAAAUUAAUUUUCUUUCAAUUAAAAGUUCAAUUAGGUGAAAGUGAUUUUAAGAUUUCCAUUCAACUUUUAAACAUUUAUUAAAAACUCAAUAAAUAAAUAAAUAAAUAUUUUUAAAAAAUAAAAAUAUUGCUGCAUCAUGAUUGUGCUAAUCAAUCUGAUUAGAAUAUAAAAAAUCACAAAUAAAAAAAGGAAUCUUAUAAAUCCCAAACUUUACAAAGAUUUUUGUUAAUAUGAUCUGUGGGAACAUGCUUCAAUCUUAUUAAUCUCAAGUUGACAGCCAGCUUAGGAUUUACAUGGAAAACUUUUGUAAUUUUUUUUAUAACCUGUUGUUCUUCUCCCUCCAUAUCUAAAAAUAUAAGCAUUCAAAAUAAUGAAAAUCAAGGAUUUCUUGUAGCUUUCUUAUCUAAAAAUCCAUUUUUUGUUUUACGAAACAAGUUGAUUUUUAAAACUCUGUUUGAUUUUUUCAGUUUUGUGGAGCAUUAGUUGAGCAAGUAUCAAAGAAGUUGAGACAGGUUUUGUUUGGCUGAUCAGCUCAUCAACAAGUUAUCUCAUAGGAAAAAUCUCAGUUAAAAUAGAUUUUGGUUUGCUUUACCAUCCACCAAAUAUCUUUUCUAAUAACCUGUCAAAGAUUUACAUACAAACUGGUGGAUGGUUAGCUCAAGUGAUAAAAAAAAUUAUGUUUUUCUUCUUAUUAUUUGAAUUUGAAUUUGUUAAAACAUUGUAAAAAGGUAAUUUUUCAUAAAUUUACUAGGUCUAACACAGAUAAAUUUACUUAGAUCAACCUAAAAAGAAAAUGUAUUGGAUAAAGUUUAAAAAUCUUUUAUGGUUAAAUAAAAAAGGAUUUACAUACAAAUAAAUAAGGAUUAAUAUUCGAAUAAAUCAUCAAAUUUUAUUUUGAAAUGCAAAUAAGUCAUCGAGAUUUUAUUAUAUGAAAUUAAAACUUUGAGCUUUUUUUUUAUUGUAAUUAUAUCCAUUAAAUUUUAAAAUUGAAUGAAUAAUGUCCAAUUGAUAGAAUUUUGGGUAAUAUCUUGAUUCCUAGGUUGGAAAGAUUUUAAAAGUGAUUUUGAGGGAAAUUUCAUGGACAAAUAGAUUUGGGAAGUCAAAAUUUGUCAUGGGGAACUUUUUAAAUUUUUUUGCAUUUUUAAAAAUUUUUUUGAAAAUUUCAAUUGAAUUUUUUGACUGUGUUCAAGUUUUUCAAUCGGAUUCCUACGAGUUUUUUAGUUUGCAAUGACUUUUCGAUUAGUGUUCUAGAAUUUGGUGAUCAAACCCAGAUUUCUACCAAAACCUCAAUAUCAUCCUGGUGAUGGUCGAAUUUUCCAGCAAUAUUUGCAGAGUCUGGCCACAGUGUUCAUCAACCUUUAGGGAGAGAAGUAGAGGAAAAAAAUAAAGGGGAAAGAGAGUUGAAGCAAUUCUAAAAGCAAAAAAAAAAACAAAAUUUGGUCUUAAAUAUCCAGAGUUAAACGACGUCGUUUUUCAUUUUGAAAUUCACCCAUGAUGCGUUUUGCCUUUUACCACCCGACCUGUUUUGUGACUUGACUUGCUACUCAGCAGCCAUCGCCCAAGUUGAGCCGAGAUGCGAUUUAAGCCACUUUAAUCGGUUUCUAUUCCUAUAGCUAAGCCAUGAUUCAAGCCAAGCCAAGCUAACUUCACUUUUUGGUAAUUUUCUAUUCUUUAAUUUAAUUUAAUUGAUUUUUCUCAAUAAAAAAAGAAUUUUUAAAAUAAACUUAUGAUUCCUAUGAAAUUAUUGAAAGAUUUUCAUGAAAAAAUUUUUAAUUAUAAAUUCUACUAAAUUAUUUGAGAAUUUUAUAAAAAAUAAAAAUUUUAAUCAUACCAAAUUAUUAGAAAAUUUAAAUAUCUAAAUUAAGUAUUAUCAAAUUAUUGAAAGAUUUAAUGAGUUUUUUUAUCAAAAAUAAUUUUUUUAAUCUUAUCAAAAUAUUAAAAGAUUUAAAUUUCAAAUUAAAACUUACUAAUCUAUUUGAAGAUUUAAUGAUUCUUCUUAAUACAAAUUCAUAAAUAGAUUUUUGAAUAAAAAUAUCACCAAAUUAUUUGGGAUGUGCAUUCAAAUAAAAUCUUGAAAAAUUAUUGAAGGAUUUUAUUGUUUGUUUAAGGUUUUGGAUAACAUGAAAUCAAUUGGUAUUAUUUUUUGGAUGAAUGUUAUGAAUGUAUUAUAACUUUCUUCAUACAUAAUCAUACUUUCAAACUUAGUAGUAAUUUCAUAAGACUAAAAUCUAUUAUUUUAAAGAUACUUAAGUUAAACUUGAGAUUUCUCUUUAAAAUGAAAUAGAUUCAGUUAAAUAUUUAAUCGUAUCUAAAUAAAAAAAUUAUUGAUGACUCAUAAAAUUAUAUUUAGUAAUAGUUUCAUAAUAUAUGUUAUGAUAAUUUGACAAUUUCAUUCAAAAAAGCUAAGAGUUAAACCAGUAAAUAAUUUUAUAUUAUCCAAGCUUGACUUAAUAAUCACCUAAUUAAGAAAACAUGAAAAUAAUCUCCUAAUCACGAAUCAAACAUAACUUAGUAAGAAAAUUUCUCUAGUAGCUUAAAAGUUUGUACUUUUUAAUCUAGCAUUUUCUCUAACUUUUUUGGAUGCAUACAAGUGUUUUUUAGGUUUGAUAAUUUAUGAAUUUAUAUCAUAUUUAUUUUAUGUUAAAUAUAUAUAAAAUAUGAAAAUUAUUAUGAUAUUAUUUAUGUUGACAUAUUAAAUACAAAAUAUAUUUUUUAAAUUUUUAUUAAAUUUAUAAAAUUUUUUAAAAAAAUUUAAAUUAAAUCACUUUCAUUUUUUUUUUCAUACCAUGUUAUUUUUUUCAAUUUAAAUUUUUUUCUUCUCUUAGGAUAAUGUUUUUAUUUUCUAAUUCAAAUUUGGUUUUUAUUUUCUCAAAAUUUUGUUGCCACUGAAGUUGAUGGGCUAAGCCCAAAGUGGUCCCUAGAGAGUCGCCUUUCAAUAACCUUUUUGUAUAGGGACCUAGGCCCACUAUGUGAUGGUUCCAUGACUUUGUUGAUAAUAAAAGACUAUUUCAUGUCAUAGAUUAGGACCUGACCAAGCAAAAACAGCCAUUUAUGUUGUGGAAUUUAUUAAAGUUUAAGGUGGACUUUAUUUUAAUUAAUAAGCCAACAAUAAAAGAUAAAGACUCUUUAGAAGAAAUUAUAUCCUUGUCUCAACAUUUAUAGAAUAACCCCAAAGGAAUUUUUUUUAAUUGAUUUUUUCCCUUUUACCAAGUAAAUCGGCAUGAAAUACUAACAAUAUUUGUGUUAUCUUAAGUCAAAAAUCAAGCAAAUAAUAUAAAGGCAACAUGAUUCUUACAAGAUUGAUGAAUAUACAUACAAGAAAUGAGCUUAUAUAUAUUGAUUUUUUGAAUUUCUAUUAAAGUUUAAAUUCUGGAAUUGAUUUGAGUACUAUUGAACUAUUAUAUAAUUUGGUGAUUCAUGAAGAAGUGAAAAUCCUAUAAAAUUAAUGAACAAGAAAAUAUUGAUUAUCAAAACAUUUUUUUAACUACAACACCCUUUUGUAACUGAAUUGACUAAGUUUCAAUAAUUUUCACAUUUUCAUUUUAUUUUCUUCUAAUGAUCAAUAUGAUCACAUCAAACCACCCAACCUAUCAAAAGAACUAAUUUUAUUGGUGAGCCAAGAAAAUUGAUACACCUAAAAUUGUUUUAAUAAUUGAUAAUCAUAUUUGGCAGGCCAACCUAAAUGAUUAAUUAAUUUAAUUUAUUUCAACAAUUACUUAUUAGGUUAUUAUAAAUAGUUUUAAACCACUUAAUUUGAUUUAAUAAGAGUUUAGAUUUUACCGCACUUUCAGUGUGAUACAGUUGAGUUCAUCAUAUUAUCAAUUAAAUUUAAAUGUCAAUUCUAACGAGUUUUAUUUGAUAUAAAUUUUUUUAUAAAUUUUUUUAAUUGUAACUUUAAUAAUUUUUUUAAUUGUAAUUACAAUAAUUUUUAACAUUAUUUUUUAUUUUAUUAAAAUUAAUUUCAUCAUCCAUACAAAUAAAUUUUUAAUUGCCUUUGAACAAAAAAGCAUAAAUUAUUGCAUUUCCUAUUAAAAAAUAGUACUAUUUUUCCUUGCCACUCCAACCAUUUUUGUAAAUUCUAAUGUCUUAAAAGAGAUUCGAACAUUGUUUUUAGACUAAAGAGAUUAUGUCAAUGAAUUUCUUUAUGUCAAUGAACUUCUUUGCACUUUAAUUGGGGCAUAGCCUGUUGCUUGCAUGUUUUGUAUGGUCAUAGGAUUUCAGGGAUCAACUUCUUGGAAAGUGGAAAGUAGAAUAGCUCCUCAGUUGAAAGUUCAACAAUGCGGGAAAAAAGAAUAAAAAAUUGGCACGGCUCGUGUAAACACCUAAUUUUUUAGAUUCAUUGAAAUGGAUCACCGCUUGCAUUCAUAAUUUUAAUGUGUUUAAUUUAAAUUUAUUAAGACAUUUUGAUCAUAUUUAUUUCAUAUAUAGAGUUCAAUAAUAAUAAAAUAUAUAUUUUAUUAUUAAGACGUUGGAUAAUAAUAAAAAAUAUAUUUUGAUUAUGCUCAUUGCAUAUUAAGUUCAUUAAUAAUAUAAUUUAUAUUUUAUUAAUUAAUAAAAAAAAGUAAAAAAUGAAUCCCAUAUUUUCGGAAAUUUGAUCCCUACUCAAAACAUCAGGGAUUUGAUUCCCUUAAACUAUGGGAUCUAAAGAUUCCUUAAAAAGAUUCCUUCACUUAAAAUAUGGGGAGGCCAAUUUAAACCAAAAAAAGAAAAGAAAAGGUUAAAUAUAAUGUAUUAUACAAUUUUUAUCAAUUUAAUAUUUUAAAAAAUAAAAAUAUCAGUUUGAUAUUUUAAUUUUUGUUCCAUCAUUUACUUUUGUAUAUGAGAAUAAUGUGUCAGUUAACAUGUUGACAAGACAUUAACAUUCAAUAAAAUUAUAAUAUGUAUAAAAAAAAUCAAGUUAGUAUCACAUCGUUAAUUGUUACGUUAAUAUUAAAAAAUUCAAAAAAAAUAAAAUAUUAUAGUUUAAAUUUUUUAAAAAAUUGAAAUAUUAAAAAAUAUUAAAAAAUUAUGAAAACUUAAAAAACUCAAAAAAUUAUGAAAAAUUCAAAAGAAAUAAAAUUUUAAUAAAAAUAAAAUAUUAUUCAAAUUGAAAAUUUUUUUUUAAAUUUUAAAUUUUAAAAAAAUUAUAAAAAUUUUAAUAUUUAUGAAAUAUUUUUUGAAUCUUACAAUUUUAAAAUUUUAUAUAUUUUUAUGAAUUUUUAGAAUUUUUUAUUUUUAUUUUUUGGAUUCUUUAUUAAUGUAUUAAUUUUUUUAUUUUUAACUUUUUUGAAAAAAUUUCUCUAAUUUUUUAGAAUGUUUCAGAUUUUUUAAUUUUUUAAAAUUUUUCAUAAUUUUUUAAAAAUUUUAAAGAAUUUUUUUAUUAAUUUUUAGAUUUUUUGAAAAAAUUUUAGACUUUUUUGUUGUAAAUUUUUUUUAAAUUUUUGUGAAUUUUUUAAUUUUAAGAUCAUUUUAUUUUUAUAAAAAUUUUUAUUUUUGAAAGUUUUCUUAAUUUUUUUAUUUUUAAAAAUAUUUUAAAUUUUAUUUUUUUUUCAAAAAUUUCAUUUAAUGUUGAUGUAAUAAUUAAUGAUACCACGUUGAAUAAAAUUUUUGAGUUACAUAAGUAUUUUAUUAUAUGUUUAUAUCACAUUAAUAAAUUGAUUAACGAUAUUAAUUCGAAUUAUAAAAUAGAUAAUAAAAUAAAAUUUAAAGUAAUAAAUUAAAAAUUUUAAUUUUAAGUACUAAACUAAUAAAAAGUUUAUAAUACAUGAGUCAUUUUUAUAUUAAAAAAAAAGCCUCAUCCAAAAUCCCGUCACCACUUGUAUGUCACUGGCCUUACUUCAAUACGAACUAACCACCACAACCCCCAACCGUGACCACCCAUUGCCGAAAACAAGGAAACACAUGGCCAAAAAAAAAACAAACCUACAACAGAAACGACAAGUACAGCAGCACCGAGACCACUGACUCAGACCACAUCCUGAACAUACUGUCCAUUAUCACCAUCCGCCGAAUACUCAUCAACGCCAUUACCCCAUCAACCCACCACAAUCGAAAACCAUCCCUUGCCCACCACUAGCUAGUUGACAACAUACAACCCCUCUUCAACAUCAAUCAAAGCUCACCCAAAAAAAAAAAAAAAAAAAACUCGCACACACAAAACAAAAGAUCAUCUUCAUCCCACAAGGGGAACACCAAUAUAGCAAACAAUAGAAUAAAAAAUUUAUAAAACCAAAGGAGAAAGAAAAGAAUGUUUCAUUUGGAUUUUAGGUUUUGCAAUUUAUAGAAGGCUUUUGGGAAAUCUCAAAGGUGAAAAGAUAGAUCAAAGAAGUAGGAUCCAGGACUUUUUAGCAUAGUUGAUAAUCUCGUUUCAAUGUUAGCGAUUUGUUUCAAUUAUAUUAAAAUAUAAUAUAUUUAAAAAUAAUUUUUUGUAUCGAAUUUAAUAUUAUGUAAUAUCGAUUGUUUGUGUUGAUUUUGAUUGAUUUCAAUGAAUUUAAGUAAAUUUAUUUGUUUUAGUUGAUAUGUGAAUGUAAAUUAUAUUUUGUAAUUUUUAAUUUAUUUUUUGUUAUUUAAUUAUUUUUAAUUAAAUAAAAAUAAAUUAAUUGACAAAAUAAUUUUUAAAAAUUAAAAUUUUUUAUUUUUAUUGUAACUUAUUUUUUUAUAUUUUAUUUUUUAAAACUAAAAUUCAUAAAUAUUUUAAUACUUUUUAAGAAAAUAAUUGUUCGUCUUUUUUAAAGUUUAAAAAUCAUGACAUUAAGAUUAAUUUUUUUUAUCUAUUUUUAUAUUAAUAUUUGCAUAAAAAAUAUUUAUUUAAAUUAUAUGAUCAUAUUACAUGUUUAAAAAUAUUCAUUUGAUUUUAUUUCUUCCAACUUGUAGAAAGAAGUUUUGGUGUGCUAGACUUGGGCUUCCUUUCAUUUAUUUGGACUCAAGCCCAACUUCAAAUUAGGAUUAAUUUCUAAAUUCUAGUUUAGUUUUAUUUUAUUUUGUUUUUAUGUCCUUAGCUAUUUGUUCAUUAGCUUAUUUUAUCUUAAUACAUUUUUAAAAAAAUUAAUUAUGAGAAUGAUAUUAUUUGUAAGUAGGAUUUCAAUGAUGAAAUUUUAUGAAAUUAAAAAUGAAUGAUUUUUUAGAACUUUUUAAAAUGAGGAUCUUAUGUUUAAAUUAUUAUAGAAUGAUGGAUAAUUUAAAUAAAGGUUUAAUAUUAAAUAAAAAUUAAUAAAAUACUUUAAAUAAAAUUUAUAAUAAUUAUCUAAUAGUGAAAUUCUAAGAAAUUAAGAAUGAUUGGUUUUCUUAGACAUUUUUAGGUGAAAAAAUAUUUUUAAUUGUUUUCAAAAUGAUUAAAAAUUUAACAUAUUUUCAAUAUAAUAAAUCAUAAAAUAACAAUAAUAAAAAUUAGAUAACCAAAUAAUUGAAAGCUAACAUUUUAGGAUUUUUUAAAGGAUAAAUGUAGAUUAAAAUCAAUGAUAAAUUCUAGAUGGAUUACGAAUUUGUUAUUUUCUAGAGAAUUUUUUUCUGAAUUUUGCCAAAAUGAUAGAAAAUUAAAAAAAUAAAAGGAAUAAAAUAUAAUAUGACAAAAUAAUUAGUAACAAAGAAAAAUAAUAAAAAUAAAAAUAACUAGAAAUUAUUAAGAAAUUAAUGAAUAAUGACAAAAGCUUUCUAAGUUUGGAAAUAAUAAAAAUCGCCUUAAUCGUAAAAUUAGAAGAAAAUAAAAGAGUUAAUUUUAUGAAAGGUUCCUGCAUAUGAAUAUCCGUUUGAAUUUUUUUAGAAUGAUAAAAAAUUUAGAAAAAAAUGUUCUAAUACCAACUAUUUAUAUUUAUUCCUAAGUAAGAAAAAUAUGAAAAAAAUAAUUUUUAUAUUUCUAUCAUAUUUAUUUUUUUAUCAAACAUGUAUAAAAUACAAAAAUUAUUAUAUCAUAUUUUAUGUUGACAUAUCAAAUAUGAAAUAUAUAUUUUUUAUUUGUUCUAAAUUUAUAUAUGAUUUUUAAAAAAAAUUUUAAACUAUAUUAUUUACGUGCUUUUUUUCAUUGGAGUAUAUCACUUACAAUUUUUUUUUUUUAGUAUAAUGCUAUAAUUAUCGAACUAAAAUAAAAAUUUAUGUAAGAAUUCACCACUUAUAAAUGUGAAUUCCAUGUAAAAUUUUAAUAAAUUACACAUAAAUUAAAUUAUAAUUAAUUAAUUAUACUACAAUAAUUAUAAAUAAUAUAUAUUUUUAGUAUCUUGAUAUGUUAUCUGGUUUAAUAAAAUUUUAGCAUUUAUAAUUUCUGUUUUUAUUAAUUAUGUCAAUCAUCAAACUAAAUACUCAGAUCUUUCUAUUACCAACUAGGCUAAUUUUAUUUGAAUAAGAAUGUAAAUUCGGUUAAUUGCUACUAAAGUUUAAUGUUUCAAAAAAGCUGCAUUUCAUUUAUUAGCACUAAGGCAAUCUAUGCUAGGAUGAUUUCCUCUCAAUUUUUCUUGUUCUGGGACAAAUUAUUGAAAACUGGAACUAUUUAAAUGGCAAGUUUUAUUUAUAGGAUCAAACUUCAAAGAUAAAGAGGAUAAUCGACUAGAUCAUUGGAUCGACAAGGAAAGGGCAUGGUGGAGUAGGAACCUGGACAGCACCAUCGAGCAUCAUUGUAACAGUCCUCAUGGAUGGCCUCAUAAAUGGAUUUUCUUGUACACACCAAAUUGCCACUUUUAAUAACAUCUCCACUUUCACCACAUCACUUCUAGCCUCUUCAUCAUUUUCCACCAGCUUUUCAACUAUGCCUUCUCUGUAGCAUUCGAAUGCCCAUUCUGUUAAUAUUGUUGCUUCCUCCUUCUCAACUUCAACACAUCUUCUGCAACAUAUGAUCUCUAACAGCAUGACUCCAAAACUGUAAACAUCUACCUUCACUGUGACUGGGGUGUUUCUGAACCACUCUGGUGCCACAUACCCUUUAGUCCCUCUUAUGCCGGUCAGCGUUCGAGUGUUGUUGCUGAUCAAAAGCUUUGACAACCCAAAAUCAGAUAUUUUAGCGGUAAAUGAAUCAUCCAAGAGUAUAUUUUGUGGCUUUAUGUCACAGUGGAUGAUUUGUGUGUUGCAUUCUUCAUGCAAGUAUGUGAGGCCUUUUGCAAUCCCUGAUGCAAUUUGCAGUCUUCGUUGCCAACUAGGCCUUAGCACUCCAAAAAGGAAGCCAGCCAAGGAACCAUUUUGCAUAAACUCAUAGAUCAGAAGUCUAUGCUCUCCUUCAUCACAAUAGCCAAGUAGUCUCACCAAAUUCUUGUGGUGGGUUUGGCCAAUGACCUUCACUUCUGUUUUAAAUUCCUUUUCACCCUCUUGGGCAAACUUUUCUAAUUUCUUGACUGCAACAUAAUUUCCAUAACUUGAUGGCAAUUCUCCUUUGUAAACCGUACCAAAAGCGCCCCUUCCUAGUUCUUCUUUGAAUAUGUUUGUGGCUUGUUCAAGAUCUUUGUAUGUGAAAGAACGCAGAUGAGUCUCCAAAUCUCUUCUGCUAGGAAUAGCGUCUAAAUAUUGAAGUCUUCUUUGAUAUAAACAGAAGAAGAUCAGAGAAAUUGCAACUAAAAAACAGAAGUUGAAUACGGCAGAGGUGCCUAAGAGAACUGAAAGGAUCAAAAUAACUUGAUUCUGAUUUUCAUUGCUUGGAUUUGGAGUGGCUUGGUUUGUCCUAGAGGUAUUUGACUUUGGUACCUUGAAGAGAGCUGUUCUAUCUAUAACAUCUCUAUCAAACCGCCCAUUUGAAAGUGGUAAUUUCUUUUUCCAACAAGUUCCAUUGCCAUCUGGACUUACAGUUGGAUCCUGUAAAAUGGCAACUGCACAAGAACAGUCAAGAAGGCAAGAUUGCCUACAUUCCAACUCAGUUGCAGGUUUCAAUAUCCCAUAGUCACUGAAAGGAAAAUCAGCGAACGACAUUGGCUUGAACUCAAAGCGAUCUUCCCCAUUGGUGGAUCCGUCCGGAUUGCAAUCUCCAGGGUAGCUUGUGUAAUCUUGUUUGCAGCCCGUGUAUGGAUUAUUUUCAUCCAAGAAAGAAAAUCCAGGGGGACAUGUGCAAUUAGGCCUCCUAUCAUUGAUAAGUUCACAAAUACUGUUAUAACCACAAGGGCCAUUUCCGAGUGUAGCUGUACUGUCUACAAAGCUACGACAGAUGUCCCUAGGCCUGAACCACAAGACAGACCAUUUUUCACCACCACUGGGGUUCCUUGGAUAAGAGUAGAGAGUAAAAACUCCAUAAAAAUCAAGUGUUGCCCUGUAGUAGUUUGAGUCUGGUUUUGGAACAGCAUUUUCUGGUGCAAGGUUGCGUGGACUUCCAGUUGAAUUCUGGAUUUGGAUAUGCCCUGACUUGUUGAAGAUCAACCGAGAACCGGUUUCAAAACUUAAAUAAUUAUUGUAAGGUUUUCCAGUGAACAUAUCUAUUUGGUUAAGUAUGAGAGAUCCUUCAUGGAAACGAAGUUGAUAUUUCCCCUUAUUGUAACAUGUUUCAUCCAAAGCUGAUAAAAGAUAGCCAUCAACAUCCAAUUCUUGAGUCGGCAAGAUGGUAUCGGUUGGAUAUUUGAAGCUUUCCCAUAUGUUGGCUGAGUUGUUGCUUGCUAUCACAAAAUUCCCUGUAUCAAGCAUGGCUGCAUGUGACACUUGAGAAUCUUUAGUAAGGCUUUCGGAUCUCCACAACUCUUUGUCUUUGGGGUCUUUAAGCAUAAGAUGUCCGGUACUGGUGAGCUCAACCUUUGAAUCUCUAUCAGUUGCUGGACUCUUUCUAUUAGCAUACCAUACUAUAGUUCUUUCCGGGAUCUUAGCAUACCAUAUUGCAAGUAGGAACCGAUCUUUUUCGCCUUGAAUGGGAUAAAAACCAAAGGCAAAAUCACCUGAUGGUGAUUGCCAAGUCAUGUUUCUAUCAUUUGCAGAUAGAAAAUCACCUACACUUACAUUACCUUGAGCCUGAACUGUUGCAAGAAUCCAAAGGAUCAUGCCUAUAAGAAUAAGCAGGAAAAGAUGACUGUGAAAAAGUGUUGAGAUCAUUGAAUCUCUCCAGCAAGAGUUCAAGUAUGUUUCUCAAAUGUAACAAAAACGAAAACUUGGUACCUUCUGGUAUGAUUCUCUGCACUUUAAAAGGGAUGAGCCUGUUCCCUGCUGGUUUUGUAUGAUCAUAGGAUUCCAGGCAACAACUUCCCGGAAAGUGCAAAAAGAAUAGAAGUUUACACGGCACAUACUUUGAAAUGUCUGCUUUACUUUCAAGUAGAAAUUUCUCGAACUUAUUACCGUAAAAAACAAGCUAUUUGUCUGUCUUUGUACUUCUAUUGUGAUCCAUCUCUUACCAUUUGUCUAUUUCCAACAAAAUGUUCAAAGUCAUUAAAUAUUGCUAUGACCUUGGCUAAUUUUACCAAGUGAUACGCACAAAAGAGAAGAAAAUAAAAUUUUUCUUAAUGGAAUAUAUAAAAAAUCAAAAACUACUUUCACUCUUCAAAAAGUGGUUCAAAAUACUACUAAAGGAUUCAAAUUGUUACUCGUACUAAUGAUCAAAUAACUUAUACAUAUAUGCAUAAUAAUAAUCAAAUGUUUAUUUUCAUUAAAUUGAGCUCUUAAUUGAUUAAUGGCUGUAAUAUGUGGCUUAAAAAUUAAUUUUCUUUCAAUUAAAAGUAUAAUUAGGUGAAAGCAAUUUUAAGAUUUAGAUUCAACAUUUUAACUUUUUCUAAAAACUCAAUAAAUAAAAAAUUUAUUUAUAAAAGAAAAAAAUAUUGCUACGUCAUGAUUGAGCUAAUCAAUCUUAUUACAAUAAAAAAAAAAAAAUCAUAAAUAAGAAAUAGAAUCUUAGAAAUCCCAAACUUCACAAAGACUUUUGAUUACUUGUUUAUGAGCUGAUUAGCCAAACAUAACCUGUCUAAACUUCUUUGAUACUUGCUCAACUAAUAGUCUAGAAAGCUGAAAUAAUCAAACAUAGUUUUUAAAAAACAACUUGUUUUGUCAACAAAAAAUGAGUUUUUUUUUAGAGAUGGACAGUAAGAAAGCUACAAAAAAUCCUUGAUUUUCAUUAUUUUAAACAUUAUUUUGAAUGCUUAUAUUUUUAUAUAUGGCGGGAAAGUACCAACGAACCAUCAAAUAUCUUUCUUAAAAGCCUAUCAAAGGCUUACAUACAAAUCAACUCAAUUAAUAAAGAGAGUGUGCUAUUUUUCUUUAGUUUUUAUUAUUUAGGUUUGAAUUUGUUGGGAAUAUGUGAGAAAGUUAUUUCAUACAAAUUCAUUAAGCUCCACGUAGAUAAACCUGCUUGAAUUGAUUCAAAGAGGGGAUGUACUAGACAAAACCCAAUAACCCUUGACCACUAAAUUAAAAAAAGGAGUUAUAUACAAAUAUAUGAAGUUUAAUAGCCAAAUAAACUCUCGAACUUUAUUUCAAAAUGCAAUCAAGCCAUCGAUUUUUUAUUACAUGAAAUUAAGACUAAAAUUUUUUAUUUUAUUUUAAUUAUACUCAUUAAAUCUUAAAAUUGGAUGAAUAAUGUCCAAGUGAUAGAUUCUUACAAAUAGUAUUACCUUAAAUAUUUGUCAUUUAGUUCAUCCAAAUGAAUCUAAGUAAGCAUUUUUUACAAAUUAAAUCAUCCAAUUAAAAAAAUUAAGUAAAAAAUAAAUAUUUUAUACCAUCAAGUUUCUAAUAAAAUAAAAGUUUAUAGGAUUAAUUUGGUGCAAUAAAAAAUAAAAAAUUUAUUUGCAUGUUGCAAUGAAGUCAAGCUUAUUUGAAUAUUAUCUCAAUAAAAAAAAGGAUAACUAUAUAUAUAUAUAUAUAUAUAUAUAUAUAUAUAUAUAGAAGAUAAAAAUAAGAAAUACAAUUGGCUACUAAAAUACUACUAAGCAUAAAUACUACAAUCAAUCUUUAUAUAUGUCAUUUUUUUUUUUUUUACAAAUAAGGCUGUAAUUUAAACAUAAAAAAAGUGAUGAUGGGUAUUGAAAUUUAAAUUUUAAACUUGUUAAUGUCAUAUUUUAGAAGUAAUUACAUAAAUAAACUAAAUUAUACUCCUUUGUUUUUUUUUUGCCAACAACCAUUUCAAUGGAUUAAGAAAUAGUAAAUUUAUUGCAAAUCCAAACUCUCAAUAGUAAAUUUAUUUCGUUCAGUCAUGUUUAGCUAUAUAUUCAUUUUGAAAUCUCUAAUUUGUUGUAUAUAUUUUAAAUAUAUAUUUUUAUCAAUAUUUUUACUAUUUCAGUUUGUGAACAACCAUCUAUCCGUUUAGAUUGUAAAAUUGUAUUUAACACUAUCUUUACUUUAGCACAUGGUUUCUCUGAGAUUUUCCUCUAAUCCGCUUAACCUGCCAUUGGUGCCCAUUGCUUUUUUUUAGGCAACUGACAAGCCGAAGAAAACCCUUUAUUACAUGAAAUCUACUGAUUUAAACAUUGGUAGAAAAUUGGCUAUGGCCGAUCAAUGUCUCUAUUUCCAAUUGACUAGGGUUUGCAGACAACUUGCCCGGAUUCUUCCUCUAAUUACCAACUGGAUUUAACCCAAAUUCAUUCUUCAGUCUUCAGGCAUUGGUCUGUAGAAAAAAGUUUAGACCAAUGAGAAUUGGAUGACUUAAAUCAGCAUUCAAUGUAGAAUGCAGUCAGAAACCAUCUUCCAAUUUCUUCUUCUUUCUCGUUGUAGGCACUUAAUUUGGUCCAAAUUCGGAUCAAUUAGGCCUGAUCCAAAUGGGUAAGCUCAUUUUUUUUUAAUUUUUGUAUUUUAUAUUUAUUAUUUUUGUAUUUAUAUAUUUUUCUUUUAUGUAUUUAUUAUUUAUUUUUUAUUAUUACUAUUUAUUAAUAUAUAUAUCCUUAUUAUUAUAAUUACUAUUUUUUUCUUUUCUUUUUCUUUCUUUUCUAUUAAUAUUUAUAUAUAUAUUUAUCUGAUUAUAUAUUAUAAUUUAUCUAUUAUUUAUUUUUAGUUAUCUGUUAAUAUUAUUAUUUAUCUGAUUAUUUUCUUUUUAAAUUAUCUAUUAACAAUUUUAUUUUUUUUUUUCUUUUUUUGGCUGAAAUUUGGAGAAUCCUACCGUGAAUGGGGAUUCAAUCAGAGUCCAUAUUAGAUUCAAUGAUUGAAUCCCAAUCCAAAAAGGAGUUGGAAUUGAUUAGAAACUCUUCUGAUCAAUCCCUAAAAAAGGACCUUCGGAUCAAAGGAAAAAACAGAGAAAAUGAGUUACUGACUGAGAGAAAAGACAGAUACAGAGAAGAUUUAAAAGCUAAAAAGGUUUUGGUGCGUUUAGAACAGCUCUAGGAAUCGGCAGGAAUUUUUGGAGAAUUUUUGUAAAUUUUUUUCUGAAAAUUUCUAAAAAAUUUUCAGAUUCCGGUUGAAUUUUUUGACAAGGUUGAAUUUUUCGAUGACUAUUUCGGCCAAGUUUGAAGUUUCCGGCCAACUUCCCAGUUUUUGGCAACCAUUUCCAGAAACCGAUCAAUUUUUCGGUGAACUUCCGGUGAAAAACCUAGAUUUCGACGAAAAUUUUCAGAAUCCGGCGACCAUUCAAUCGAAGUUUUUUGGGUUUUUAGAAGGAAAAGAGAGAGAGGGAAGAAGGGUUCUACUGAAAAAACGAAGGAAUCAACCUUAUAUACCAUUUCAAAACGACAUCGUUUCUGCGUUAAGUAACCCAGAGGAUCCGUGCGUUUUGUCAAGAUCUGACUCGAUCCGAGCGCGACCCGUUUUUGACCCGCGUGCGACCCGUGUCUCAAGCCGUUAGUCGAGCUAAGCCGACACCCUUGAGCCGCGUCUUCGAGCCAUUUUUUCUUCUUCAAGCUAAGCCGAGCCGAGCCACAAGUCGAGCCGUUCGCAGGUUUUUUUUUCCAUUUAUUUAUUUAUUUAUUAAUUAUUAUUAUAUCAAAAUUGUUUAAUAUUUUUAUUUUUAUUUAUUUUUUUAAAUAAAAUUCAAAAAAAUUAUUUUUGAGGAAAAGUUGAAAGUAUCAAUUUUCCUUAAAAAUAAAUUUAAAAAAAAAAAAAGAGGUUUUGAGGAAAAGUUGAAAGUAUCAAUUUUCUUCGAAAUUAAAAGUUUCUAAAAAAUAUUUUUGGAGAAAAGUUGAAAGUAUCAAUUUUCCUUAAGAAUAAAUUUUUUUUUUAAAAAAGGGUUUUGAGGAAAAGUUGAAAGUAUUAAUUUUUCUCGAAAUUAAAAGUUUCCAAAAAAUAUUUUUAAGAAAAAGUUGACAGUAUCAAUUUUUAUUAAAAAUAAAUUUUCAAAAAAAAAAGAUUUUAAGAAAAGAUGAAAAUAUCAAUUUUCCUCGAAAUUAAAGUUUUCAAAAAAUAUUUUUGGAGAAAAGUUGAAAGUAUCAAUUUUUCUUAAAGAUAAAUUUUCAAAGGGAUUUUUGAGGAAAAGUUGAAAGUAUCAAUUUUCCUUGAAAAAAAGCUUUCCAUAAAAAAAUAUUUUUGGGGAAAAGUUGAAAGUGUCAAUUUUUCUUAAAAAUAAGUUUUCAAAAAUGAAUUUUUGAGAAAAAGUUAAAAGUAUCAAUUUUUCUCAAAAUUAAAGUUUCAAAAGAAUAUUUUUGAAGAAAAGUUGAAAGUAUCAAUUUUUCCUACACAAAAACAAUCAUUUUUUUCCUUUUUAUUUUUUUAAUGUUAAAUAAUCCGACGAUGGAGCCUCUGCAAGUGAAACAGUAGUUUUCUUACAUACUUUUGAGGUGAGGGAAUUUUUUCAAUUUUUUGCUAAAAGUAUUAGAGUUAAUUGAGAACAAUUUCCAACAACUAAUUACUUGGUAAAUUUUUAGGGCUUAUUGGAUAACACAAAAUUAAGCUGGUAUCAUCUUCUGAUGGGCGUUGUGAGGGUGCUAUAACCUUUCUCACACGUAACCGAACUCCCGACCCUAUUCUGGUUAGUAGACCCGAACCUAUUUUUUAGGGAUCCUUAAACUUAGGUGUUCCUUGAAAGGAUAGAUUCCUUAGGUGGCCAAUCGCAUCUAGAUAAAAAAAAUUAGUGGUGACUCCUUCAAGUCAAUGUCUAGCGAUAGAUCCCCGAAUCUAGACGUUAUGACAACUUGACAACUCCACUAGAGACUCUGAGAGUCAGGCCAUCAAACAAUUUGUGUUAUCCAAAAGCCUAAUAAGAUUGAACCUUUUGUAUAUAUGUGUUAUUAUUCAUUCAUGUUUAUUUACUUUGUUAAUUAUGUCAUUCAUAUGCAUGUGCAUAACAUGAGCUCUAUACCCGAGUUUCGUCCCUCUAGGAGGGAGUAAAGUACCUAUUACUUUCGUGAGGUCUAAUGCUUCCGCAGUGGCUAGCAAAAUACUCCCACUUAAAUUGAACAUUUUUUGCUUGUAACCUGUAAUGGGUGAGGAUUAGGGUACCUUACUAUUCUGUGAUGGACAAGGAUGUAAGGAGCAAUUUAGGAACCUUUAGAUUUUGACCUUAAACCACAUAUAAUGAACCUUAAGAGUGCCUAACCUAUAGAUAGAGCCAUCACUCUUCCCUCUUAGAAUUGACCAGAAGCAUAGGGUUCAUUCUUUUUUUUCUGUGUGAUGUUUUAAUUUACUUAGUUAUUUAUUUAUUCUUUUUCUUUUUUGGCCAUACUAACCUUUUUCUCAUUCUUUUGCAUUGGUUCAUACGUAUAUCAUAAAGUUGCAUAAAGAACAUUUGCUUGAAAGACGAUCUUCAACAAAAUUUUUCAUUGACUCCACUGAACGACUAGUUUGUUCUUCAUCCUAUUGGCACCUUGUGAGACACCUAACGAAGUAAGAGUCCAGUCAAAAAAGAUUCAACUAAAGAAGGGGGAUUGUUUACUAAUUGGAUAUGAUUCUACCUUGUCUCAAGAAACAUCUAUCCUCUUCAAAUAGAAUAAUCUAGAGGAUCUGGUUGAUAUCUAAAAAAGAAUGAGUCCGUCAAGACAAGAAUAGUUCUACCAAAAACACGGGCAUAUAGCACAUCUUCUAGUAGUAGUUGUUGAUGAUCAACUAAUCAGAGCUGUAGCACAAUUCUGGGAUCUUGCAUACAAGUGUUUCAUCUUCAAUGAAGCUGAUAUGACUCCCACCAUCGAAGAAUAUUCAAUUUUGUUGGAUUUGUACCUCAAGGCUCUUGACAAGAUAUAUGUCAAAAAACACAAGUUAGGAUUUCGUAAAGGUCUAGUUUAACUCAUGGGGAUAGACAAGGAAGUUGUGGAUUCUUAUACAAAGAAGAAACAAGAACAGGUUUGCCUACCUUGAAAGUUUUUUCAUGAGUUCCUAUUGCAACAUGUCAAUAAAGAACGGGGGUUAGAUAUAUUUGCCUUAGCUAUAUAUGGAAUGAUGAUCUUCCCAAAAGUUUUAGGUUAUAUUGAGAUAGCGGUGGUUGACUUCAUCGAGAGUGUGAUCAAUGGUUGUAAUCUUUUAACGGUAAUAUUAGCAGAGACUGUUAGACCUUUGAAUUACUAUCGUCAAAAUAGAAGAUGCUUUAUAGGUUGCAUACAGUUAUUAUACUUAUGAAUGAAAAACCAUUUUGAGUGGGGAAAUGAUACUUUCUUGAAGCUUUAUAUCCGUAAUCGAGCUCCGAUCAAGGAAUUCUGUGAAAGUGGGUGGUCAGAACGAAAGUCUAAAAAGGAAUGGAUAACUUUCCUACAAAAGUUGACUAGUACCAAGGUGAGAUGGUUGGCCCCAUGGAUGAAUCGUGAGCUUAUGUUGUAUCAAUAUAGGGAUAAUACAGUGGUCCCACUUUUAGGUUUAUGGGGAGUGACAAAUUAUGCACUACUUCUAGUGAGAAGGCAGUUUGGGGGAGAACAGUUUAUUCUUAUGACUUAUGGGCUUCAUCAGUUAGAUUUCUCUUACAGUGAGUCAAAAGCAUUUCAGAGGAUGAAUGAGAUGAUUAAAGCAUGGAAAAAUCCCCAAAGAGUAAGUCCUGGACUGUUUACUGAUAAAGUCACUCCAGGGUACUUGGUUUGGAGAGCAAAACGAAGACAAGAAAUGGUAUUCACUUAUGAAAGCUUUCAACCACCAACAGAAAAAAAACUUGAAGAAACACCAUUAGAAUUAGAGUUUGCAACAAAAGAAUUUGAGUCUGAAAAUGGUAAGUUAAAGCAAGAAAUCUAGAAACUUUAAGAAGAAAAAGACCAGUGGAAAGAUAAAGCUGAAAGUCAUGAAGUUAAGAUUCACAAGAUUGCUAGAGAACGUGAUACAGCUAUUGAAGACCUAGCAAAGCUACACUAAGAACAUAAAAGGUUAUGUGUGAGAGAAAGGGCCAAAGAGAUAACCAUUGUUGAGCUGACUGAAGAAAAUGCUAGAUUGAAACAAGAGUAUAUUGAAUUGGAAGAAGACAGUACCUAAGUAUAGAUAAAGAAUAACAUGCUAAACAGUUAUUUGAGCAAGCUAAGAUAAAAGUUGAAUGAACAAAUAGACCACAUUAUUGCAUUGGUUAGGGAGCAUAGAGAAUUAUCAUACCAAGUCUGGUGUGGUAAGAGAGGGAACUUAGGAAAACAAAAAUACAUUGAGCACCUAACUACCCAAAUCUAUAAGGGGGUAUGCAAGGCAAGAAAGAUAGUGGAAGAGGCAGAGGCAUUGAAAUAAGAGGUGACCCCAGUAGGAGAACAUGAACAGCGUCUGUUGAACUUUAUUGAGGAAGCCAAGGCCCAGUAUGAACAGAUUAAACAAUUUUAUGGUUAUAAUUCUAGGAUGAUAAACUCAAUGUAGAUAAAAGUUUUUUGGAAUAAAUGAAAUCUUUUAGUUGAAUACUGUUUUUAAGGCAAAUGUUCUUUGCAUACAUGCAAUUUUCAUUCAUUGCAUUCUUAUUCAUUACACUUAAUAAAGCAACCAUAUGAUAGUCAUACAAAUUUACUAAUUCUAAGAUAUGUACUUAAGGUUUAAAGAUAGCUCUAUCUAGCGAGAACCCUACCCAUCGAUACAAUACAAGAUCCAAAGCCAGACAAAUGGAGCAGAAAAAUUCUCACAGAUUUGAAAAGAUAGAAAAAGCACAGGAGAAGAUUGAAAGUGAGUUGAGUAAGAUUUUGGAUGCUCUCAAUAAGCUGAAUAAGGGAAAAAAAGUUAAAGAAAAUACAAGCCAACAAGUUCCCCCAUUGCAAGAAGUGGUUGACCCUUUGUAUCCUUUAGGUUUUGGCCCACCUCAAGCCCAGUCUGCACAAGAGGUUCUACCAUAACACUUCGCAUAUCCAACAUAUCCUAGAAUGCCAUCAGCUUUCAACCCAGGGCAUUAUCAUAGCUAUGUAAAUCUUGUCUUUACUAAAAAGGCAGUAGACCAAUUCCUGAUCUAGAUGAUUUGAAAAGAUAAGAGUGGAAACUCAGGAAAGUUUUAAGAUUAGUAUGCUAGAACAAAGGCUACGGGUUGUGGAAGGAUUUGAUUUCUAUGGUUUAGUUGAUGUUACUGGGCUUUGCUUAGUCCCUAAUGUGGUCAUUUCUCAUAAGUUCAAAGUACCAUAAUUUAAAAAAUAUGAUGGUAUGAAGUGUCCCAAAACCCACAUCACCAUGUAUUGUCAAAGAUGGUAGCUCGUACUCAUGAUGAAAAACUUUUGAUGCAUGUUUUCCAAGAUAGCCUUACUGGCUUUACUGUCAGGUGGCAUGUUCAGCUGGAUAGGACCUGCAUUCACUCUUGGAGUGAUAUGGCUCAUGACUUUAUCAGUCAAUAUCGACAUAUUAUCGAUUUGGCUCCUAAUCAUUUAUCUUUACAGAACCUGAAGAAAAAGGCAAAUAAGUCUUUUAAAGAAUACACCUAGAGAUGGAGGGAUAUAGCUUCUCAGGUAUAACCUUCACUGACUGAGAAAGAGACCAUAGUGCUUUUUGUUAGCACUUUGAAACCUCUCUAUUACGAAAAGAUGAUAGGGAACGCAACAAAAAAUUUUACUGAUAUGGUAAUUUUUAGAGAAAUUAUCGAGAGUGUCAUCAAGAAUGGCAAGUUGAAAUGAGGUGAAGCAUCUAACAAAAGAGUCCUAAAAAAGAAAGAGACUGAAACUCAAGCUGUGAGCUUUGAUAGAUAGCAAUUUGAGGGUUAUCAAUCCUACUCACCAUCAGGAUACCUGUCAUAUUACCCUACUGUAAAUAACACUUUCCCUUACCCAUACCAACCAUUUGUAUAGUCACCUUACCCCCAAACAUAUCAAACCCCUCUAGGUCUUAAAAUACCAUAUACAGUCCUAACACUCAGCCUACCCUAAGACCCCAAAAUCGUCCAACUAAUCCUAUGGGUGGUCCACGGGAGUAAUGAACUACCCGUGAGAAACCUGUGUUUGACCUAAUUUUAAUGACUUAUACAGAAUUAUAUAGGGAGCUUUACAAUAGUCAUUUGAUUGCUCCUAGUAAAUUGGAACCCUUCAAGCCCCCUUACCCCAAGUGGUACGAUCCCACAGCCCAUUGUGACUACCAUUAUGGGAUUACUGGUCAUUCCACCAAAAAUUACACUGUUCUGAAACAUAAAAGUACAACGAUUGAUCAAGGAUGGAAUGAUUUGCUUUGAUACGGGAGAGGUGAUUGCACUGAAUGUUAGUGGUAAUCCCUUGUCGAAUCAUAAUGUGAAUGCUCUAAGUGAAGAACAUGAGCAUCAUUUGAAGAAAAAAAUGACAGAUAUCAAGACACCUCUCAGCCAACUAUUUGAUAUUUUAUGGAAGGCUGACAUGACACAACUGGUGAGUCCGCAUAAUUAUCAUGGAGUAUGUGUAGCCGACACUAGUUGUAAAUAUCAUAGUGGGGCAAUAGGCCACUUUAUUGAAACCUGUGAGCAGUUUCACCUAGAGGUGCAAAAACUCUUGGAUUCAUACCAGAUGGAGGUCUAUGAAAGAAGAGAAGACUUAAGAAGUGUUGAGAUGUCCAUGACUGAUAAGCCUGCAAAGCUAUUUUCAAAGCCGGUGACAAUCCAUUGUGGAAACAAGCUAAAGUCUAUCAUAAACAAACUCAUUCCCAGGUUGGUAACUUUUAAAGUUUCGACUCCCUUUUCAUACAAGGAUGACAAAGCUGUACCCUGGAAAUAUGGCUGUGAUAUAGUAGUUCAGGGGCAAGAAGAUGAUAUCUCCGAAGCUGAUGCUUCCAACAUAACUGGUGUAAGAGGUAUUACCCGAAGUGGAAGGUGCUACACUCCAAAAAUGUUAGAAAAGGCUAGAAGAGAGAAGACCAAAGAAGGAGAAGGAUAAAAUAAUCCUGAAGUAGAACCUGAAGAAGAUCGUUCGAAGUCGGUAUCAGAAAGAGAGGUUUGUGAAUUCCUGAGGCUGGUAAAACAUAGUGAGUAUUCGGUUGUUGAACAGUUGAAUAAAAUGCCAGCUCGAAUAUCAUUACUAUCACUGCUGCUAAACUCAAAGUCACACCGAAAUGUCCUGCUGAAAGUGUUGAAUCAGGCAUACGUGGUACAUAAUGUAUCUAUUAAAUAUGUGAAUCACUUAGCUUAAAAUUUAGUCAUGCCGAAUCACAUUUCAUUUAGUGAUAAUGAGAUUCCCUUGGAGGGAAAGGGAAAUGUCAAGGUUCUGUAUAUCACGGUUAAGGGUAAGAGCCAUAUCAUAGCCAAGGUCAUUAUCGAUUAUGGCUCUACUAUCAAUGUCAUGCCUAUGUCAACUCUGGUAAAGCUACCCAUUGAUUACUCUUAUAUAAAGGACAGGCAGAUGAUUGUGAAAGCUUUUAAUGGGACCAGGAGAGAAGUUCUGAGGGAUAUCAAGAUGUCCUUGCAAAUUAGGCCAUGCACUUUUAAUGUGAAGUUUCAAGUGAUGGAUAUCUUUCCAUCCUAUAGCUGUCUAUUGGAAAGGCCAUGGAUUCACAUGGUAGGAGCUGUGCCCUCUACCUUGCACCAAAAGAUCAAGUUUAAUGUAGAAGGUCAACUAAUAGUGGUAGUUAGAAAGGAAGACAUGCUAGUGACCCAACUAUUGAAUAGUCUAUAUGUAGAGGCUACCGAAGAAGCAUUAGAAUGCUCCUAUUGAUCUUUUGAAUUGGUUAAUUAUGUGGGUAAAAGACUUAAAAAUCAGCAUUUUUUAAGGAUAGUGAUGAGUCAAGUCAUCAACAAGGGCUGAUAUCCAGGACUAGGGCUUGGUAAAAACUUGUAGGGAAUAAAGAAACCCCCGACAGUGAUAGACAAUAGCGACAGGUUAGGCCUAGGCUAUGAGAUGGCAGAAUAAGAGAUCAAGAGAAGGCCAACAGGAAAGACAGCAAGACUAAUAGUUAUCCCACACCUGUAUGAGACUUUCAGACCUAGAGGAUUCAUGUACCCAGAUACAGGAAAAAAUGUAAAAAAUACUUUUACCCAGUUAACCAUUAAUGUUGUUAAAGAUGAAAUAAGGCUUAAUUAAGAGGAGUGGGUUCGUCUUUGUUCGUCAGAUUAUGAGCUGAAUAAUUAGAGUGCCAUCGAGAUGCCUGUGACUUUUGAGACUAAUACAAUGUAAUUAUAAUAUCCCAAUAGCUAUUGCCCAAGGCAUUGGGGUGAUCUUUCUUGUUUGGGCCAUUUAUCUUUUAUUAUUUUUAAUAAAAAAAUAAAAAAGAUGCAUUUUCAUUCAUUUCUUUUUGUAUCUUCAUUAUUUUCAUCUUUUCAAGCACAUCUUACCAACAUAUCCCAUUUCAUUCAAUUUCAAGUCUUUAAAUGAACAUGAAGAUAAUCAUGAUAACAAUCAAGAGGUUAGUUUUGAGAAUUCAAUUAACACUGAUAAACUUGACAAUAAAGAGAAUUCUGAGAAUAUGUUAUGCCUCCAAACCUAAUGAGAUUGAUUGAAUAAGAAAAUAAGUCAAUUGAGCCUCAUCAGGAGAUAGUUGACUUAGUGAAUCUGAGAGAUAAAGAGAAUAAGAAAGAUGUCAGAAUUGGUACUUCACUUUCAUCAGGAGAUACACAAUGAUUGACAGACUUACUUCGAGAAUUCAUAGAUGUAUUUGCUUAGUCUUACCAAGAUAUACGAGGGCUGAGCAUGGAGGUAGUGCAGCACAGAUUGCCCUUAAGGCCAGAAUGUAAGUCAGUUUAGUAGAAACUAAGACAGAUGAAGCCUAAAAUGGUGCUAAAGAUCAAAGAAAAGGUGAAAAAAUAAUUUGAUACAAGUUUUCUACAAGUGGACAAGUACUCAGAGUGGGUAGCCAAUAUAGUAUCCGUUCCUAUGAAAGAUAAAAAUGUAUAAAUACGUGUAGACUAUCAGGACUUGAAUAAGGUUAGUCUAAAAGAUAACUUUUCUUUGUCUUAUAUUGACACACUGGUAGAUAAUACAGCUAAGCAUUCAAUUUUCUCUUUUAUGAAUAGUUUCUUAGGGUAUAAUUAGAUAAAAAUGACUGCAGAUGAUAUGGAAAAGACUAUUUUCGUGACUAUAUGGGGAACCUUUUGUUACAAAAUCAUGCCUUUUGGGUUAAAGAAUGCUAGGGUAACGUAUCAAAGGGCCAUAGUAAAACUCUUCCAUGACAUGAUGUAUAAAAAGAUCGAGGUGUAUGUAGACGAUAUGAUUGCAAAGUCUUAUGAGGAUGAAGAUCAUGUCACCAGCCUCAGAAAGUUAUUUGAGAGGUUGAAAAGAUUCCAGCUCAAAUUAAAUCCAGCCAAGUGCACUUUUGAGGUAAAGUCAGGGAAGUUAUUAGGCUUUAUGGUCAGUGAAGAGGAAUUGAAGUCGAUCCAGAUAAGAUACGGGCUAUUCAAAAUUUGUCAUCUUCAAGUACACCAAAAAAAGUUUGAGGUUUUCUGGGGAGAUUGAACUACAUUUCUCGGUUUAUCUCUCAACUUACUUACAAAUGUGAUCUCAUAGUUAAGCUUCUCUGUAAAAAUAAUCCUAGAAAAUGAAAUGAGGAAUGUCAAGAGGCAUUUGAUAAAAUUAAGCAAUACUUGUCGAACCCUCCAGUGUUGGUGCCACCUGUUCCAAGGAAACCUUUAAUUUUAUACUUAACUGUAUGUGAAAAUUCAAUGAGAUGUGUGCUGGGGUAGCAAGACGAGUCUAGCCGAAAGGAAAGAGCUAUUUACUAUCUGAGUAAAAAGUUCACAGAAUAUGAAUCUAAGUACUCCUUAUUGGAGAAAAUGUGUUGUACAUUAGUGUGGACUGCCAAAAGACUCAGACAGUAUAUGCUUUAUCAUACCACAUGGCUCACAGCAAAACUGGAUCCAAUUAAAUAUAUCUUUGAGAAACCUUCUUUGUUUGAAAGAAUUGCUAGAUGGCAAGUAAUGCUCUCAAAAUAUGAUAUUAUAUACGUGAGCCAAAAAGUAAUAAAAGGGGGUGCUAUAAUGGAAUUUCUUACAGAUCGUGCUAUUAAAGAGUAUGAGCCAAUUAAGUUGAAAUUUCCUAAUGAAGACUUAAUGACUAUUUUUCAACUGGAGAAAGGGGAGCAUAGAGAAAAAUGUUGGAGAAUGUACUUUGAUGGAGCUGCCAAUGCCUUAGGGCAUGGAAUUAGGGCAAUUUUGAUUUCUCUAGAAGAACAAUACUGCCUUGUAAUAGCAAGGUUAAAUUUUAAUUGCACAAAUAACAUCGUUGAAUAUGAGGCAUGUGUCAUGGGCUUGCAGGCUGCUAUAGAUUGAGGAGUGAGAGCAUUAAAAGUGUUCGGAGACUCAGCUCUAGUUAUAUAUUAAUUAAAAGGAGAAUAGGAGAUGAGAGAUUCAAAACUGGUUCCAUAUCAUAAGUAUAUUCUAGAGUUGAUGAAAUAAUUUGAAGAUAUCUAGUUUGACCACUUACCUCGAGAAGAGAAUUUGAUUGCUGAUGCAUUGGCUACUCUGGCUGCAAUGAUUUGAAUUAAUGACAAUACUGACAUUCAACCCAUCAAGCUAGAUGUUAAGGAUAUACCAGCUUAUUGCUCUAAUGUAAAAGAAGAAGAAGAUGGAAAGCUCUGGUAUUAUGAUAUCAUACAGUAUAUUAAGGACAGUAGUACCCAGUUCAAGCAAUAAAAAAAUGAUAAAAGGGUCAUCCAAAGAUUGGCUAUGAGUUUUUUUUAGAUGAGGAUGUUUUGUACAAAAGAAGUCGAGAUCAAGUAUUAUUGAGGUGUGUAAGUAAGACUGAAGCGAAAAAAAAUCAUUGAAGAGGUACAUGAUAGAAUAUGUAAGGUAUAAAUCAGUAGACAUAUGAUGGCGAGACAAAUCAUGAGAGCAGGAUAUUACUGGUUGAUGAUGAAGAAUGAUUGUAUUGACUAUGCUCAUAAAUGCCAUAAAUGCUAGGUAUAUAUUGAUAAGAUCCAUGUUUCGCCGUCUGUUUUACAUGUUAUGGCACCACUAUGGCCAUUCUCAAUGUGAGGCAUGGAUGUCAUUGGUCCAAUCACCCCAAAGGCUUCUAACGAGCACAGAUUCAUUUUUGUGAUGAUAGAUUACUUCACAAAAUGGGUAGAGGUAGGAUCAUAUACAAGUGUGAUAUGAUCUGUGAUUUGUAAGUUCAUAAAGAGAGAGAUCAUCUAUAGAUAUAGACUUUCGAAAAGAAUUAUUUCAGACAAUGUCAAGAAUCUAAAUAGUAAGAUGAUGCAAGAAAUAUGUGCUCAAUACAAGAUCAAGCAUCAUAACUCAGUACCAUACCUUUCGAAAAUGAAUGGGACAGUUGAGGCAACAAAUAAAAACAUAAAAAAGAUUCUGGAAAAGAUGACCGAGACUUAUAAAGAUUGGCAUGAGAAGUUGCCAUUUGCAUUACAUGCAUAUCAAACAUCAGUUCGCACCUCUACUAGGGUAACCCCAUUUUCUUUGGUUUAUGGGAUGGAAGCUGUACUACCAGUAGAAGUGGAGAUCUCAUCCUUGAGGGUUCUAAAAGAAGUUAAGUUGGAAGAAGCUGAAUGGAUUCGAGAAUGCUAUGAACAGUUAAAUUUCAUAAAGAAAAAGAGAUUGACUGCACUGUGCCAUGGUCAACUAUAUCAAAGAGAAUGAUGAGGGCUCAUGAUAAGAACAUUCGACCCCGUUGCUUUUGAGAAGGAGAGUUGGUCUUAAAGAGAAUCCUUUCGAUCCAGCACGAUAGUAGAGUAAAAUAGACUCUGAAUUGGGAAGAGCCAUAUAUGGUGAGACGAGCUUUUUUGGGUGGAGCGCUGAUACUGACUGAGAUGAAUGAAAAUAAUUUAUCCCAUCCUAUAAAUUUUAAUGCUGUGAAGAAAUACUAUGCUUGAAAAAAAAAUGAAAAAAUGAAAGAAAUGAAAAAAAGGAAAAAAUGUGAAUGAAAAAGGAGGACUCAAGGCGAAAACCUUAAAAGGGCAGUUUGAGUCAUAGGGGGUUAUCUAAGUUGAAAACCUAAAAAGGUAGCUUAGAUAAAGAGAAUACAAUAUCGAAUUCGAAAAUUCGAUGGCAUGGAGACUAGUAAAAUUCGAAGGAGCUCCAGGUUGUUAAAUACAUCAGAGGUUGGAUUUUCAGAAAAAAACUUUGAGAUGUAUUAUCAUGAUUAUUCGAUUGUUCAUUUUGGGCUUUGUUCCCCAUUCUUAUCUUUGUAAUUCUCCCUUGGCCAAAAUUAGCCAACAUUUUUGCUAAUAAAAGACAUUUUAUUUCACUCUUUGUGUCUUUUUUUUCUGGUGACUGUUUCUCAACCAUUCUUAUUCUUUUCUACUUAAUACCCUACAAUGGAAGAAAUGUGCAAAUGCAUUCUUACUUUUUGAGUUAAAAAUAAUGAUUGAUGAAUGAAUAAUGGCAUGAAAGAUUUUUACAUUACAUUGAAUAAGUCAAGAGUGAUAAAGACAGGAUUGAGAUGUUCAGUUCCUGAUAAGGACAUUGAAUUUGGAAAGAGAUUUUUUUUACAAAAAAAUGUGAGUGGAAGAGAUGAUUGAGAGCUAUACUGGCUCGAUCUUAGAAGAGCAGUGUAAUUGGGUCUUUGAAGAAUCAAGGGUUCGGCCAAGAAAAGAGCUUGAGAAAUUUGAGUACCACAAUUGAAUAGGAGUUAAUUAGCCAACAUUUGCAUAACAUGCAUUGAAUUUCAUACAUUGCAUAGCAUAUACUACAUAAAUUCAAGAAGCAAGGGUAUUCCAAAAUCCCACAUAGAAAAGACAGAUGUGAAGACAUUUUCAAAUUUGAGAAGAAACUUGUCAGGUAAGUUCCUAAUCCUUGAAAUAGGAUGUCUUUUGGUAUCAGGGUUGAUUUAUAAGACCUUUGGGCAUAAUCUCCUGAAAUUCCUUCAAACACGAUUUUCAAUUCCUUUAGACAUGAUUGUCAAGGAGCAAUUUACUUUUCAAAGUCGUUGAGCCUCUGAUUAGAGGAGCCAUUUAUUUUUUUAAAGUUGUUAAGCCUCUGAUUAGAAGAGCCAUUUAUUUUUUCAAAGUUGUCAAACCUCUGAUUAGAGGAGCUAUUUAUUUUUCUAAAGUCAUUGAGCCUCUGAUUAGAAGAGUUAUUUAUUUUUUUAAAGUCGUUGAGCCUCUGAUUAGAGGAGUCAUUUAUUUUUCCAAAGUCGUUGAGCCUCUACUUAGAGGAGCUUUGAUCAAAUUUAAAAAAAAAUAAACAAAAACAAAAAUCACCUAUGAUUAGAUGAGCUUUACUUAUUUUUCAAAGUCAUUGAGCCUCUGAUUAGAGGAGCAUUUGUUUAUAUUUUUCAAAGUCGUUGAGCCUCUGCUUAGAGGAGUUUUGAUCAAAUCUUAAACACAAAAAAAUAAAAAAAAUGUCGACUUGAGUCUUGAUUGGGUGUUUACGUUUUUGCGCAAUUUUUGUUUCACAGAAAAUGUGCAAAGAGAGGCAGCUGUAGACACCCAAUUUAGUCUAGGCCCAGAUCAAUUGGGCCUGGUCCAAAUGUGUAAGCCCAUUUUAUAUUUUUAUUUUAUAUUUAUUAUUUUUAUAUAUAUUUCUUUUAUUUUUAUCUUAUGUAUUUAUUAUUUAUUUAUUUAUUAAUACUAUUUAUUAAUAUAUAUAUCCUUAUUAUUAUAAUUACUAUUUUUUUCUUUUUUUUUUCUGUUAAUAUUUAUAUAUAUAUAUUUAUCUGAUUAUAUAUUAUAAUUUAUCUAUUAUUUAUUUUUAGUUAUCUGUUAAUAUUUUUAUUUAUUUGAUUAUUUUUUUUAAAUUAUCUAUUAACAUUUUUUAUUUUCUUUUUCUUUUUUUUGGCUGAAAUUUGGAGAAUCCUACUAUGAAUGGGGAUUCAAUCAGAGUCCAUAUUAGAUUCAAUGAUUGAAUCCUAAUCCAAAGAGGAGUUGGGAUUGAUCAGAAACUCUUCUGAUCAAUCCCUAUAAAAGGACCCUCAAAUCAAAGGAAAAAACAGAGAAAAUGAGUUACUGGCUGAGAGAAAAGACAGAUACAGAGAAGAUUUAAAAGCUAAAAAGAUUUUGGUGCGUUUGGAACAGCUCUAAGAAUCAGCAGAAAUUUUUGGAGAAUUUUUACGAAUUUUUUUCUGGAAUGUUCUGAAAAAUUUACAGAUUUCGGUUGAAUUUUUCGGCAAGGUUAAAUUUUUUGACGAUUAUUCCGGCCAAGUUUGAAGUUUUCGACCAACUUUCCAGUUUUCGACAACCAUUUCCAAAAACCGAUCAGUUUUUCGAUGAACUUCCGGCGAAAAACUCAGAUUUCGACGAAAAUUUUUAGAAUCGACGGCCAUUCAACUGGAGUUCUUCAGAUUUUUAGAAGGAAGAGAGAGAGAGGAAAGAAGGGUUCUGCUGAAAAAAUGAAGGAAUCAGCUUUAUAUGCCCUCUCAAAACGACGUCGUUUUUGCGUUAAAUAACCUAGAGGAUCCGCGUGUUUUGCCAAGAUCCGACCCGACCCGAGCGCCGAUCCACUUUCGACCCACGUGCGACCCGCGUCUCAAGUCGUUAGCCGAGCAGAGCCGACACCCCUGAGCCGCGUCUCCAAGCUAUUUUUUCUUCCUCAAACAGAGCCGAGCCAUUCCCAGGUUUUUUUUUUUCGUUUAUUUAUUUAUUAUUAUUUUUAUAUCAAAAUUGUUUAAUAUUUUUAUUUUUUAUUUAUUUUUUUAUUUUAUUUUUUUAAAAUAAAAUUCAAAAAAAUUAUUUUUGAGGAAAAGUUGAAAGUAUCAAUUUUUCUUAAGAAUAAAUUUUUUUUUAAAAAAAAAGAGGUUUUGAGGAAAAGUUGAAAGUAUCAAUUUUCCUUAAGAAUAAAUUUUCAAAAAAAAAAAAAGUUUUGAGGAAAAGUUGAAAGUAUCAAUUUUCCUCGAAAUUAAAAGUUUUCAAAAAAUAUUUUUCGGUAAAAGUUGAAAGUAUCAAUUUUUCCUUAAAAUAAAUUUUCAAAAAAAAAAAAGAUUUGAGGAAAAGUUGAAAAUAUCAAUUUUCCUCGAAAUUAAAGUUUUCAAAAAAUAUUUUUGAGGAAAAGUUGAAAUUAUCAAUUUUUAAAAAAAAUAAGUUUUCAAAGGGAUUUUUGAGGAAAAGUUGAAAGUAUUAAUUUUCUUCGAAAUUAAAGUUUCCAAAAACAAAAAUAUUUUUAUGAAAAAGUUGAAAGUAUCAAUUUUUCCUGCACAAAAACAAUCAUUUUUUUUAAUGUUAAAUAAUCCAACGAUGAAGCCUCUUCAAGUGAAACAGUAGUUUUCUUGCAUACUCUUGAGGUGAGGGGAUUUUCUCAAUUUUCUACUAAAAGUAUUAGAGUUAAUUGAGAAUAAUUUCCAACAACUAAUUACUUGGUAAAUUUUUAAGGCUUAUUGAAUAACAUAAAAUUAAGCUGGUACCAUCUUUUGAUGGGCGUUGUGAGGGUGCUAUAACCUUCUUCACACGUAACCGAACUCUCGAACCCUGUUUUGGUUAGUAGACGCGAACUUAUUUUUUUAAGGACCUUUAAACUUAGGUGUUCCUUGAAAAGAUAGAUUCCUUAAGUGGCCAAUCGCACCUAGAUAAAAAAAAUUGGUGAUGACUCCUUCAAAUCAAUGUUUAGUGAUAGAUCCCCGGAUCUAGACGUUAUGACACUCAUUUUUUGGGCCAUGUUGUAAAUUGAACCUCCCACUGGCAUUUAUUUAUUUCAUUUGGUAUAUUUCAACCUCUCUUAAUGUUGGUUAUCUUAACAUGCUUUUUAAAUUAGGUUAACGUGUGAUUUAUGCAUCGAUAUGACUUUUCAAGAUUUGAUAUUUACAAAAAAAUUUAUGGUUAAAUAUUGGAAAUUUUUUUUUGUAAAAUAUUUUGUUUCAUACAUUAAUUCUAUUGAUGAUAAGUUAAUAUGGUCGAAUAUAAAUAAAUAAUACCAUAACAUGUGACACAUUUUUAUUGAUUAGUAUUUAUCAUGUUAAUAUUUUAAUUGAUCAUGUAAGUUGUUUGAUAAAAACAAAAUUCGGAUACAUAAUCCUAAUUUUUUAAAGGCAUUGUAUGGUUAAAAAUAAUACACUAACUCUUUAAAAUUAUGGAUUUGUCCGCAAACUAAAUCUUGUCAUAAUUAAAAGCAACUUUAGACAAGGGCCAAAGGGUAGCUAAGCUUUUCUAAUUUCUCGUGACCAAACCAUGCAAACGAUGGAAACACUUCUACAAACCACAAAUUUAUUGUGAUUUUAGGCUUUCUCACCUAAUGCCAUUAAUAUUUUGUUUUAAGGAAGUUUUAGCUUCUAACCUCUUCUGUACUAGAGUGUUUCAUUAUGUAAUCAUUGUAUAUAUAAAAUUCAAAUAGUUUGUAAUAAAUGCCUAGUCUUUUUUACAUAAAUUAUAAAUUUAUACAUCUUAAUUUUAUUAUAUAAAAUACAAUAAAUUUUUUAUUAUCUAAUAUUUAUUUGAACUAUUGAUUUUUGAUUUUCUUGUAUUCAUUUUUUUUUUGAAACCAUUAUUUUUAAAGUGUAUUGGUAAACCUUUUAGUUUUGUAACAUUUAUAUUUUUUACUUUUAAUUUUCUUAUGACUUAUGAUCUUUUAUUUCUUUUAAGGGUGAGAGUUAUACGAGCGUAUUUCAUGUCUCUAUUACACUUUUUUCUUUCGAUUAUUAUUUGUCAUAUUACUUUGAUUAUUGACUUUUGAUUUUCUUGUAUUCAUUUUGAUUUUUGAUUUUCUUGUAUUUAUAUUUUUUAAAACCAUUAUUUUAAAAAUGUUACACUUCUUGCUUCCAAUUAUUGUUUGUCAUAUUAUUUUGACUAUUGGCUUUUAAUUUUCUUAUAUUCAUUUUAUUUAAAACUAUUAUUUGUUAAAAUUUAUUGAUCAAACAUUUGAUUUUGUAACAUUUAGUUUUUUAACUUAAGUUUGAUUUUCUUGCGAUUUAUGGUUUUAUAUCUCUUUUAAGGGUGAGAGUUAUAUGAGCUUCUUUCAUGUCAAUUUUACACUUUUUUCUUCCAAUUUUUAUUUGUCAUAUUACUUGGAUUAUAGAUUUUUUAUUUCUUGCAUUCAUUUUCUUUAAAAUCAUUAUUUGUUAAAAUUUAUUGAUAAGAUUUUGGUUUUAUAAUAUUUAUAAUUUUGUCUUUUGAUUUUUUCUGUGACUUAUAAUUUUUCAUCUUUUUUAAAGGAUGGACGUUAUAUGAGUGUCUUUUAUACCUCUAUUACACUUUCUUCUUUUAAUUCUUAUUUGUUAUAUUACUAAUUAUAAAAUUUUGUUUUUCCAUUGUGUUUUUGGUUGGAUGAUUUUAUAAUUUUGUAAUUUUUUAAUCAUGAUCUAUGUUUUUCUACAUUUCAUGUUUUUUUAUUAGUCAAUUGAUGAUUUUUUUAGUGUUUUUAUUUUCUUAUAAUUUUUUACUUUUUUGCCAUGAUUUUUUUUUUUUUGUAGUUUAAGCUUUAUUAUUAACAUUUACUAAUCAUAAGAUUUGUUUAUUAUUAAGUUUUCAUUUUCAUAAUUUUUUAAUUUUUUUAAUCAUGAUUUUUUUUUUUUUUUUUACAUUUCAAGUUUGUUUCUUAACCAAUUGGUGUAUUUUUUAUUAUUUGUAUUUUUAUAAUUUUUUUAUCAUGUUUCUUUCUUUCUUUUUUUCAUUGUUUAAACUUAGCUAUUAACAAAUUAGAAUAUACCAUGGUUGAUGAUUAUCUCUUAAAAAAAUGAAUGGAUUCAUAAUUUGUGUUUGCCAAUUGUGAGAUAUUUAUAAUUUUAGAGAUAUUUAUAAUUUAAAGACUAAACAACAUGUUAGUACAAAAAUGAUAUUGUUUGAUGAAAAUGUAUAUAUGCUUUUUCUAUAUUUUUGUCAUGUUAUUUUCUUAUCUCUAAUUUAUUUUCUUAUUUUUUAAUUAAAUCAUAGGCAUGAAUAUUGUUUUUUAUAUUGCUUAUUUAUGACUUUUGAUUUUUGUUUUUUAAAUUAUAUAAAUUCUUUCAUUUUUAUAUAUUUUAUUUGUUUAGAUUUUUUGUAUGUAGCAUGUUACUAAUCAUGAGAUUUGUAUGCAUCCUCUUCAUGUUUGCGUAUUUAUAAUUUUUAAUUUUUUAUAUGAUCCAUGAUUAAUAUUUUUGCUAUUUAAAUAUAUUUGUUUGACAUUUGAGACAUUUUUAAAACUCAUUUUUACUUAUAACUUUUGAAUUUCUUCUUUAAGUGAUAAAUAAAUUGUUGCAAUGAGAAUAAAAAUGUUUGAUUUAUCAAUUAUAUCAUAAUUUUUUAUUUAUUUUGAAGUACGAAUUGAUAUUUUAUUUUUAGAAAAUCAAGUUAACAUAAAAUUUGCUUCUUCUUCUAUUUUUCAUUGUGUUUGAUUUUUUUACAAGACCUGUAAAUUUUUGGUAAUAUAUAAACUCAUUGACAAUGGAAGGUGAUACUCAAGUUUCAAUGUUUCAAUAAGAUUUUGAUUCUUUUUGUUAUUCCAUAUUUUUCUCAUUUUUUUUCUCUUAAUCUAUUUACUGAUUUUUUUUCUUUUUUUUCUUCCCAUAAUUUUUAUGUCAUAAUUAAGCUGUAAAAUGUAGAUAUUUUAUCUUGUUAUAUUCAUUUAUAUUAUUAAUAAAUUUAUGUUUUGUUAAGAAGAUUUUUUUUUAACUUUUAAUGGUUUUUCUAUGUGAUUAUAUUUUGAUUUUUUUUUAUGUUAAGGAAGCAGUUUAGAUUCUUCAAAAAAAAAAACUUUAAAACAUUGAAAAUAAAAAGAUCUAAAAAUUUUAUAAAAAUUAUCAAAAAAUUCGAAAAAUUAUGAAAAUUUUUCUUUUUUUUUGAAUCUUACAAUUUUAAAUUUUUAUAUAUUUUAUAACUAUUUUUGGAUCUUUUUAUUUUUUUGGAUUCUUUAUUACAAUAUUAGUUUUUUAUUUUUUGUUUUCAUUUAAAAAUUUUUCUCUAAAAUUUUUAGAAUGUUCAUUUUUUUUAAAAAAAACUUUUCAUAAUUUUUUAAAAUUUAAAAGAAUUUUUAAUUAGUUUUUAGAUUUGUAAAAGAAAUUUAGAUUUUUUAUUGUAAAAUUUUUUUAAGUUUUUAUGAAUUUUUUUUUAAUUUUAAGAUAAUUUUAUUUUUAUUGAAAAUUUUAUUUUUAAAAUGUUCAUAAUUUUUUAAUUUUUAUAAUUUCUAAAAAUAUUUUAUAUUUUUAAAUUUUUAAAUAAUUUUAAAAAUAUUUGUAUUUAUUUAAAUUUGUUUCAAAAUUUCAAUAAAUAUUAACAUGACGAUGGAUGAUAAGAAACUGACUAAACUUUUUGAUUUGAAUCAACAUUUUAUUAAAUGGUCAUACCACAUUUGCAAGUUAAUUAAUGAUAUUAGUUUGAAUUAUUAAAAUGGAUAAUGAAAUGAAAGUUAGAGUAAUAAAAUAAAAAUUUUAUUUUUUUAUGUAUCAAACUAAUAAAAAAAUAUAUAAUACAUGAAUUAUUUUUAUAUUUUAAAAAAAUCAACCAAAAUCCCAUCACCACUGCUAUUUCACUGGCCAUACUUCAAUCCGAACCAACCACCAUAAGUCCCCCACCGUGACCGCCCAUUGCCGAAAACAAGGAAACACAUGGCAAAAAAAUUAAAAAAAAUCCCUACAAUAGAAACGUCAAGUACAGCAGAACCAAGACCACUGACUCAGACCCCAUAUUGAACCUACUGCUCAUCCCAAGGAUUUAAAUUACAGUUACCAUCGCAUUUUCGAUUGAAUAGUAUUUUAUUAUGAUUCGGACAUAAUAGAUAAAAUAAUGAUAGUUGUAUUUAUUAUGAUCGUGAAUUUUUUUUUUAAUUUUAAACAAUUUAUCAUAAAAUAAAAUAAAUAAUAAUUAUAAACAUGUUUAUUAUAUUUAAAGUAACUUAUAAUAUUUUAAUUCUUUAAUUUAUAUAUUAAAAUAAAUAUUUUAUAUUAUUUCAAUUUUGAAUCAUAAAUCAAUAUACGUAUAUAAAAUGUUGAUCAUUAAUAUAUCCAUAAAUUUUGUUUAUAUAAAUACUAUAAAUACAUAUGAUUGAUGACAAAUUAUCAUUGUGAAAUUAAUAUUAUAAAUUAGUCUAAUUAAAAAAAAUAAUAAUAAACAUUUAAAUAUUUUUAAGUAUAAUUAUUAAGGUAAAUGGAUUAAAAUAUAAUUUUGUGGUAUAAAUACAUGUAAAAACACUUGUACAUAUCAUUUUUCAUUUUCUUUAAAAUUUUUCUCUAAAAUUUAAAAUCUUCAAAAUAUUCCCAAAAACUUAUUUCCCAUUAUUUAGUUUUGUUCUAUAACUUCUUAUCUAAAAAUAUUAGGCAUAAAAAAAUUAAAAAUAAAUAUACUUAAUAAUAUUAAAUUUUUAUUAUAAAAUAUUUUUUAGAUAAUUAAAAAUUAAAUUCACUAUUUAGCAACUAACAACUCUAUUAAAUUCUUUUUAAAAUCAUAAAAAAAAUUCAAAUACCCAUUUCCCAAAAAGUAAAAGAAAAGAUAAUCAAAAUAAAAAAUAAAAACCAAUUUAUAUCGACAUCAACUUCACUCGUGUCUUUCCCUUUUUGUCCACUUUGCUUUUCCAUCCCAAAACAAAAUCACCCACGAGCCUAUCCAUUUUCUUCCUUGUCAUUCCCUCAAGUGAUUUCAACUCUUUUUUUUUCAUUGGAUUGAUUUGGGAGUUGUUUGCAAUUACUUUAUGGCAUCAUACAGUUCUUAAGUUGCUAAACUUAAGGAUCCCAUAGAGCAGUAAAAUGAGUUUGACAGUUUGAAAGUUAGUUCUCUUACUGGAGUUCUAUCUUUAUAUUAUCUCUGUUCCGAUUAUUUUGAUUAAGACUUAAGUUUGAUUAAAUAAUUUAGACUUGGGGCAUAAUUUUCUUACCAUAUUGGAAUGUGUAUUCAUUUUAUUUGAUGAAAGAAAAACAUAAAUAGUAGCUUUAACAUCCCGUUACAAUAGUUUUUUUUUGUUAUACCGCUAUUUACGGCUGUAAACAACUGUCAUAGGUGUGAUUGCCAAUCACAUCUCCAUCGCGGGAGAAUAACAGAAGCCGUAGGUAACGCUACCACUAAAUAACAGCUGUUAUAUUGCGUUGCCGGCAUUAUUUAAAACCUUGUCACCAAUCGCCUAAUACUCAUCAACACCUUUACCCCAUCAACUCACCACAAUCGAAAACCAUCCCUUGCCCACCACUAGCUAGUUGACAACAUACAACCCCUCUUCAAUGACAAUCAAAGCUCAACAGAAAAAACACUCACACACACAAAACAAAUGAUCAUCUUCAUCCCUACAAGGGGAACACCACUGUAACCCACAAUAGAAAAAAAAAAAAAACAAAUUCAUAAAACCAAAGGUGCAAGAAAAGAAUGUUUCAUUUUUGCAUUUUGGGUUUUGCAAUUUAUAGAAGGAUUUUGGGAAAUCUCAACGGUGAAAAGAUAGAUCAAAGAAAGAGGAUUUAGAAUUUUCUAGCAUAGUUGAUAAUUUCAUUUGAGAUACGCUUCAAUUAUAUUAAAAUAUGAUAUAUUUAAAAAUAAUUUUUCAUACCAAAUUUAGUAUUAUGUAAUAUCAGUUAUUUGUAUUGGUUUUGAUUGAUUUCAAUAAAUUUUGAUGAAUUUACUUAUUUUGGUUGGUACGUAAAUGUAAAUCAUGUUUUAUAAUUUUUAAUUUAUCUUUUGUUAUUUGACUAUUUUUAAUCUAAUAAAAUAAAUUAAUUGACAAAAUAACCUUUAAAAAUUAAAUUUUUUUAUUGUAACUUAUUUUUUUAUAUUUUAUUUUUUCAAACCAAAGUUCAUAAAUAUUUUAAUAUUUUUUAAGAAAAUAAUUGUAUGCCCUUUCUAAAGUUUAAAAUCAUGAAAUUAAAGUUAAUUUUUUAUCUUCAUUUAUAUUAAUAUUUGUAUAAAAAUAUUUAUUUAAAUAUUAUAUGAUCAAAUUCAAUGUUGAAAAAUAUUCAUUUGAUUUUAUUUCUUCCAACGGCCUGUAGGAUGAAGUUUUGGUGUGCAAGACUUGGGCUUCCUUUCAUUUAUUUGGAUUCAAACCCAACUUCAAAUUAGGAAUAAUUUCUAAAUUUUAGUUUACUUUUAUUUUAUUUUGUUUUAUGUCCUUAGCUAAUUAUUCAUUAGCUUAUUUUAUCUUAAUACAUUUUUAAAAAAAUUUAUUAUGAGAAUGUUAUUAUUUGUAGGUAGGAUUUCAAUGAUGAAAUUUUAAGAAAUUAAAAAUACAUGAUUUUCUAGAACUUUGUAAAUGAGGAUCUUAUGUUUAAAUUAUUACAAAAUGAUGGAUAAUUUAAAUAAUGGUUUAAUAUUAAAUAAAAAUUAACAAAAUACUUUAAAUAAAAUUUAUAAUAAUUAUUUAAUAGUGAAAUUCUAAGAAAUUAAGAUUGAUUGGUUUUCUUAGACAUUUCUAGGUGAGAAAAAUAUUUUUAAGUGUCUUCAAAAUGAUGAAAAAUUUAGCAUAUUUUCAAUAUAAUAAAUAAAAAAUAAUAAAAAUUAGAUAACCAAAUAAUUGAAAGCUAACAUUUUAGGAUUUUUUAAGGAUAAAUGUGGAUUAAAAUAAAUGAUAAAUUCUAGAUGAAUUACGAAUUUGUAAUUUUCUAGAGAAUUUUUUUUUUGAAAUUUUGCCAAAAUGAUAGAAAAUUAGAAAAAAUUAAAAGGAAUAAAAUGUAAUAAGGCAAAAUAAUUAGUAACAAAGAAUAAUAAUAAAAAUAAAAAUUACUAGAAAUUAAUGAAUAAUGACAAAGGCUCUCUAAGUUUGGAAAUAUGAAAAUCGCCUUAAUCAUAAAAUGAAAGAAAAUAAAAGAGUUAAUUUUAUGAAAGGUUCCUACAUAUGAAUAUCCAUUUGAAUUUUUUCAGAAUGAUAAAAAAUUUUAAAAAAAGUUCUAAUACCAAAGGUUUAUAUUUAUUCCUAAAUAAGAAAAAUAUGAAAAUUAUAAUUUAUGUAUUAUAUCAUAUUUAUUAUAUAUUAAACAUGUACAAAAUACUAAAAUUAUUGUUUCAUAUUUUAUGUUGACAUAUCAAAUAUGAAAUGCAUUUUUGUUUGUUUUUACUAAAUUUAUAUAUGAUUUAUUUAAAAAAUUUUAAACUGUAUUGUUUAUAUGUCUUUUUUUAUUGGAGUAUAUCACUUAUAAUUCUUUUUUACUAUAAUGUUAUAAUUAUCCAAUUAAAAUAAAAAUUUAUGUAAGAAUCACACUUAUAAAUGUGAAUUCCAUAUAAAAUUUUAGUGAACUACACAUAAUUUUAAAUUAUAAUUAAUUAAUUAUACUACAAUCAUCAUAAAUAAUAUGCUUUUUUUUUUAGUAUCGUGUUACCUUAUCCGGUUUAAUAAAAUUACAAGAUCUUUCUUCUCUUUGGAUAAUGUUUUUGUUUUCUAACUCAAAUUUGGUUUUCAUUUUCUACAAUUUUUGGAAAGUGAAGUUCAUGGGCUAAGCCCAAAGUGGUCCCAAGAGAGCUGCCUUUCAAUUUAUUGUUAUUAUUAUUAUUUUUUAAUAGAGACCCAGGAUCACUAAGUGAUGGUUACAUGAUUUGCUGAUAAUAAAAAGACUCUCACGUCAUAGACUAGGACCUGACCAACCAAAACCAGCCAUUUAUGUGGUGGGAAUUUAUUAAGAUUUAAGGAGGAUUUUAUCUUAAUUAAUAAGCCACCAAUAAAGAAUGAAAACUCCUUAGAAGAAAUUAUAUCCUUGGCUCAUCAUUUGUAGAAUAACUCUAAAGGAGUUUUUUUAAUUAAUUUUUUCCUUUUUACCAAAUCAGCAUGAAAUACUAACGAUAUUUGUGAUCUCAAGUCAAAGAUCGAGCAAAUAAUAUAAAAGCAACAGGAUUCCAACUAGAUUGAUGAAUAUAUGCAAUGAGCUUAUAUAUAUUUCAAGUUUUUUAAAUUACGAUUAGAAUUCGAAAUUUGGACUUUCAAUUUUAAAAUCGACUCAAUGAUUACAAAAUUAUUGAAUAAUUUGAUGAUUCAUGAAGAAUUAAAAUCCUAUAAAAUUAAUGAGCAAGAAAACUUUGAUUAUCAAACUUUUUUUAACUCCCACUCCUAUUUGUAACUGAAUUAACCAAGUUUCAACAAUUCUUACAUUUUCAUUUUAUUUUCUUCUAAUGGUCAAUAUGAUCACAUCAAACCACCCAACCUAUGAAAUGAACUAAUUUUGUUGGUGAGUCAAGAAAAUUGAUUAACUUAAAAUUGUAUUGAUAAUUGAUAAUCAUGUUUGUUAGCGCAAACCUAAAUGAUUAAUUAAUUUAACUUCUUUAAAGAAUUAUUUAUUAGGUUAUUAUAAAUAGUUUUAUGCCACUUAAUUUGAUUUAAUUGCCUUUGGUCAAAAGACCAUAAGUUGUUGCAUUUCUCAUUCAAAAAUAGUCAUUGAUGGUUCUACUCUUUUUGAUUGCCACUCCAACCUAUUUUGUAAAUUGUAAAGCUUUUUUAUUUUUUUUAAUUCAAGGAAAAGAGAUUGAACAUUGUUUUUUGAAUAAAAGAUUAUGUCAAUGAAUCCCGAAAUUAAUUUAAUUAGUUCAUAUAAUUAUUUUUAAGCGAUGAAAUUUAUUAAAUCUGAAGUUUAAAUUUUUGUAUUUAUAAAUUUUUUAUUAAUUAUGUCAAUAAUUUUAGUAUUGUAAAGCAUUUCUUUUUUCUUUCUUUUUUUAAUUCGAGGAAAAGAGACUGAACAUUGUUUUUUGAAUAAAAAGAUUAUGUCAAUGAAUCCCAAGAUUAAUUUAAUUAAUUUAUAUAAUUAUUUUCAAAAAGUGAUAUUUAUUAAGUUUAGAGUUCAAAUUUGAGUAUUUAUAAUUUUUUUUAUUAAUUAUGUCAAUCAUUAAACUAAAUACUCGGGAUCUUUCUAUUACCAACUAGGCUAAUUUUGUUUGAAUAAGAAUGUAAAUUCUGUUAAUUGCUACUAAAGUUUAAUGUUUCAAAAGAGCUGCGUUUCAUUUAUUAGCAGAAAGGCAAUCUAUGCUAGGAUGAUUUCCUCUCAAUUUUUCUUGUUCUGACACAAAUUAUUGAAAACUGGAACUAUUUAAAUUGCAAGUUUUAUUUAUAGGAUCAAACUUCAAAGAUAAAGAGGAUAAUCGACUAGAUCAUUGGAUCGACAAGGAAAGGGCAUGGUGGAGUAGGAACCUGGACAGCACCAUCGAGCAUCAUUGUAACAGUCCUCAUGGAUGGCCUCAUCAAUGGAUUUUCUUGUACACACCAAAUUGCCACUUUUAAUAACAUCUCCAAUUUCUCCACAUCGCUUCUAGCCUCUUCAUCAUUUUCCACCAGCUUUUCAACUAUGCCUUCUCUGUAGCAUUCGAAUGCCCAUUCUGUUAAUAUUGUUGCUUCCUCCUUCUCAACUUCAACACAUCUUCUGCAACAUAUGAUCUCUAAUAGCAUGACUCCAAAACUGUAAACAUCUACCUUCACUGUGACUGGGGUGUUUCUGAACCACUCUGGCGCCACAUAGCCUUUAGUCCCUCUUAUGCCGGUCAGCGUACGAGUGUUGUUGAUCAGAAGCUUUGACAACCCAAAAUCUGAUAUUUUGGCGGUAAAAGAAUCAUCCAAUAGUAUAUUUUGUGGCUUUAUGUCACAGUGGAUGAUUUGUGUGUUGCAUUCUUCAUGCAAGUAUGUGAGGCCUUUUGCAAUCCCUGAUGCAAUUUGCAGUCUUCGUUGCCAACUUGGCCUUAGCACUCCAAAAAGGAAGCUAGCCAAUGAACCAUUUUGCAUAAACUCAUAGACCAGAAGUCUAUUUUCGCCUUCAUCACAAUAGCCAAGUAGUCUCACCAAAUUCUUAUGGUGAGUUUGUCCAAUGACCUUCACUUCUGUUUUAAAUUCCUUUUCACCCUCUUGAGCAAACUUUUCUAAUUUCUUGACUGCAACAUAAUUUCCAUAACUUGAAGGCAAUUCUCCUUUGUAAACCGUACCAAAAGCACCCCUUCCUAGUUCUUCUUUGAAUCUGUUUGUGGCUUGUUCGAGAUCUUUGUAUGUGAAAGAACGCAGAUGAGUCUCCAAAUCUCUUCUGCUAGGAACACCGUCUAAGUGUCGAAGUCUUCUUUGAUAUAAACAGAAAAAGAUCAGAGAAAUUGCAACUAAAAAAAAGAAGUUGAAUAUGGCCGAGGUGCCUAAGAGAACUGAAAGGAUCAAAAUAACUUGAUUCUGAUUUUCAUUGCUUGGAUUUGGAGUGGCUUGGUUUGUCCUAGAGGCAUUUGACUUUGGUACCUUGAAGAGAGCUGUUCUAUCUAUAUCUCUAUCAAACCGCCCAUUUGAAAGUGGUAAUUUCUUUUCCAACAAGUUCCAUUGCCAUCUGGACUUACAGUUGGAUCCUGUAAAAUGGCAACUGCACAAGAACAGUGCAAGAAGGCAAGAUUGCCUACAUUCCAACUCAGUUGCAGGUUUCAAUAUCCAUAGUCACUGAAAGGAAAAUCAGCAAAUGAGAUUGGCUUGAACUCAAAGCGAUCUUCCCCAUUGGUGGAUCCGUCCGGAUUGCAAUCUCCAGGGGUAGCUUGUGUAAUCUUGUUUGCAGCCCGUGUAUGGAUUAUUUUCAUCCAAAAAGAAAAUCCAGGGGGACAUGUGCAAUUAGGCCUCCUAUCAUUGAUAAGUUCACAAAUACUGUUUAUAACCACAAGGGCCAUUUCCGAGUGUAGCUGUACUGUCUUAAAGCUACGACAGAUGUCCCUAGGCCUGAACCACAGACAGACCAGCUUUCACCGCCACUGGGGUUCCUUGGAUAAGAAUAGAGAGUAAAAACUCCAUAAAAAUCAAGUGUUGCCCUGUAGUAGUUUGAGUCUGGUUUUGGAACAGCAUUUUCUGGUGCAAGGAUGCGUGGACUUCCAGUUGAAUUCUGGAUUUGAAUAUGCCCUGACUUGUUGAAGAUCAACCGAGAACCGGUUUCAAAACUUGAAUAAUUAUUGUAAGGUUUUCCGGUGAACAUAUCUAUUUGAUUAAGUAUGAGAGAUCCUUUAUCGAAACGAAGUUGAUAUUUCCCCUUAUUGUAACUUGUUUCAUCCAAAGCUGAUAAAAGAUUGCCAUCAAUAUCCAAU